UUUUUUUUUUUUUUUUUUUUUUGGUAAACAAUACGUACGUGUCAAAUUAUCUAGGGUAGAGCUAUAAACAUGCAUACUAGUGAGAAAAGCUACACAAACUGCACGUGCAUGUGCGAAACUAGUGAGAAAAGCAAAAUAUAUAUAUGUAUACAUACACGUGUUUGUGCAAAUUAAGUAAACAAAUUGGUAAGAGAAAAUGUAAUGGUUAAUGGUAGCUAUUAAUUUGAAAAAAAUGGUGCGUGAUGCCCGCACAGUCUGUGAUCCCGUACAUAACUUCUAAAUACUUUUAAUAAACAUGCUAUAAUGGGCAAAAUACAUAUUGCUUUAGGGAUAAGAACUCAGUCUAGUUGUGUCUUAUGUGGUUCUGUCCAGUUAUUAUACAUGUUCAAAUUUUUUAUGUAUAAAUAUACAUUAUAAUAUUGUACAGAAUAUAUAUUAAAUAUUUUAUUUAUAUACGUCAUUUUUACUAUAAUUACAAUAAUAUAAUGUAUUUAUAAAUAUAAAAAUAUAGAACAUGACCAAACCACACGAACUCCACCCAAACUGACUCCUUUCCCUAGCUUUGGUAUGCAAAAAAAAAGUCUUUUAUAUGAAUUUUCAAAAUGAUUCCACUCGUGGCACGGUAUCUUCUACCUACACUUUCCAUGAUAAGAACAAAGUUGUACUUGUAAAAACAAAACAUCCAGCAAGGAACUUUAAUUGGAAUGAAUCAUAUAAUUUCUAUUGUAUGAUCGAUAGGUAUAAACAUAAAAAAAAUCUCUAUACUAGAUCAGUUGCUCCUCAACCUCAACUUCUGUUUGAGCCUUUUUAUACUGUAGAAGUUAACGUACUUGAAAAUUCUUAAAGCAUUAAAAGGGCAUAUUUGAAAAUAAAAAUGAAUUGUGUCUUGAAAAGUAAAUAUUUAGCUAGCAUUCAUUAACCUCAGAAAGGGUGUGGAAAGAGUUAACAGUGCACCAUUGACUCCCAUAACCUACUUGUGUUACGUUGUGGCGUAAAAUAGUACAUUUUCUUUUAGGGAUAAUUUCAGAAACCUUCCCUGAGAUUUCUAAUAAUUUCAUUGAGUUCUCUCAAGAUUUAAAAAAUUAUACAUAUCUCCCUUAUUAUUUAAAAUGAUAAUUUUAUCCUUAAAUAUUUUAAUAAAAUUUCCUUAUACUUAGAAUAGUUUUUAAAAUUAUUUUUUCCAUUUUUACAUUUUUUCCUUUUUUUAAAAAAAAAAUUUCAUCAAUAAAACUAUAGAACUACCACUAUUACCUCUAAUUUCUAUUGUAACCAAAUGUUGAACUAGUGAUUUUUUUACUAGUUAAUUUUAUUUGUAAUCCAAUAUUUUUGCUGAUCUCUGUUUUAUAUUUUUUGGUAUUAAAAUUGACAAUAAAUUAAAAAGAAAUGGUCCAAAAUCACUGCUAAAUUAUGAUUAGCCCAUUACUCAAAAAAUUGGUAAACUCUAAAUGAAUUAUUUCAACAUUUUCUUUUCUAUCUUAUAAAUUUAACUUCAUAAUAAAAUACUAUCAAAAUAUCAUAUCAUAGUGAUAAAAUUAUUAUUAUAGUUGUUUAUCAAAUAGUAGAUAUGAACAUGAAAAAUUUGGCACAUUUUCCUUAUAAUUAUACUAGAUAAUCUUAUAAUUGUAUAAAAAAAUAAAUUAAAACUCAUUACACAAGGACAUUUUUGGAUAUUUAUUUAAAAAUUUGAUCAAAUCAAUAUUAUUUUAAAAUUUUAUUAUUAAAACUAUCAAAUUAAGAAAAAUAAGUGUAAUUUUUUAAACCUCAAGGGACCUCAGUGAAAUUAUCAAAACCUCCCUUGCUCUUUUUUAUUAUUUCUAACAUUCUCGAGGCCAAUUGAUCAAAAUGUUGUUAGAUGAUAAAAAAGUUAAUCAAAUACAGUGGCUUGGCUGCUUGCUUUUAAAAAAGGCACGACGGGCAAUUUCUUUGGAAAAAAAAAAGUCAGGAUGAAAAGACGCGCACACACACACCUGUAAACACUUGAAAUAAAAAAAAGUCAGGAUGAAGACGUUGGGUUCCUCCAAAGUUUCUAGAGUUUGAGAGCGGCACUGCCAUUAUCAUAGCAAAGCUAAAGCCGUUGCCAAGGUCCCUUCAUUUUAUCUUUAAGUUCUAGUUCAUGAGAUGGGUUUCGUAAAAUUUCAAAUUGUUAUUUUUGACGUUGUAUGGCUGAUUCUGUGGGCUUAUUUAUGUUAUACGUCUCAUGAGGAGCAUAUUUAUGUUAUACGCUUGGUGAAGUAUGUGCUAGUUUUGAAUGAGUUUAUGAAAUAGAGAUCGGACUGUAAAUAGUCAUUUUUGCUACUUUUUCACUCAAUUUCUCUAAAAACUGAGGGCGAAAAUGGAAUCUAUGCGAAAGACUUAGUGAAAGGUGACACUUUGGGGUAAAUCCAUCACCGAAAGGCUCUAUGACUGGUGGUGGUUGGUGGCGGCAAAGGCCGGCAGCACUACCGUCGCCACUGCUCAUUUCUGCCAUGACUAGGUUGAGGAAGAAGAAGAGGGAAAAGGAAAAACAAAAAAAAAAAGGAAAAUUAAGUUUUAGUAAAACUACAUAGCAUUGGCCCACAUCUAAACUAAGCCGCUCGUAAUUUGGUCCAUGAAUUUCUUGAACCUCACUAUAGGCCCACAACUUUGAUUCUAUUGCAUCUAGGUCCAUUUUUUAAUGCAUUUUGGUCCAUGGACUUUAUCUAUAUUUAAUUUUGAUCCCUAAUCUUUUUAAUAAUAUGACUUUGACCUUUAAAACUCUCUAAUUUUACAAUUAGGUCCCACUAGAAUGAUAACUUUUCAAUUAGAGCAGUUUGAUUUCUUUAAUUACUAUUUUAUUCCUCAAUUAUGCAUUUUUAUGUGUUUUUGUAUGACUAUUACAACUAAAUGACUUUAAUUAGCUUUGGUCUUUCAUUACUAUGACCUGAUAGUGGUAUCUUUGCUCCUUUUGUUCAUGUUGUGAGUCCUAAAUAGGAAAACCUUGAUCCAACACUUUAAACGGAGCGCAACGGAUCUUCUGUCCUAUACCCUGUGCCACUCUCUGUCCCACUUUUUAUUAUAUUGCUAUUUCUCCUAAAAAAUCUCAUUUUUUAUGCAUUUUGAUUUUUUGAGUUUGUUAAAUUUUGUGUAUAACUUAAUUAAUAGUUAUUGAAUCUUAAGGAAACAAAAAAAAAAAACUAAAACAUGAUGUUUAUGUAGGAGAAAUAGCAAUAUAAUAAAAAGUGGGACAAGGAGUGACACAGGGUGUGGGACAGAAGAUCCGUUGCGUUAAAGGGAGGUACCCUUCUUGGUUUUACAUCCAAUUAUGUUCUAUUAUGUGUUUAUAUGCUCUAAGUUGUUUUAAUUUCUUAGUUUGCUAUUAUAUUACCUUCUUAGUUGCAAUUUGCUUUUUAAAAUGCUUGUUCAUUUUACUCUAAUUUUUUCAAGUUGUUUUCAUUUAAUUAAAUAAAAUAGUUGGGUUCAUGUUUUUCGUUCUCCCUUUGUUAGAUUGCAAUUAGGACCUCACAUAUAUCAGAUAGGUUUAUUUUUCAUUGUUUCCGUGUCAGAUUGUAGCCGUGUUCUCUAACGUAAUAGAUAAGGCUUCUAUGUGUUAUGUGCUCUUAUGUGCUUACGUAUUUGCAUGCUUUCAUAAGGAUUGGCAUCUAGAUAUCAUGCUUAUUUGUUACGUGCUGAGUGUGCUUUCCAUGUUUACUCCUUUUAUAUCAUGCUCUUGUAUACAAUGCCUGCUUAGCGCCAUCACACUUGUGCUAGUUGUGGCACCUUCCAUGUUUAUUUGCUAAACCAAUACUAGUGAAGAUUUGUAAAAAUAGGUUAAUUCAAUGCUAGAAUCUUAGAUUUUUUGCACAUUAAAUCCACGUAUUGUAUGUUAUUCAUUUCAUUUUUGUACAUAUUUUUUUAUAUUUUUAGACAUUUUUUUUCUCAUUUGUAUGUUGUUUUUUCCUGUAAUAUGCCCCUAUCCUGUAUGUGUUUGAGCAAUUUCAUUUAUAUUUGCAUUUCGUAUAAGAAUUUAGAAAUUAGAUAGUUCAUUUGCUUGUUUAGAUGUGUAAAGUCACCCUUUUAAGUAUGAAAAUGGGCAAUUAUUGCAAUUGUGAAAUGGUUAAGAGGAAGUAACACUCCUAAUCUUAAACUCUUCAAUGGACUAUCUACGCACAAGUGCUUAGUCUGCAUGUUUUGCAUACUUCCCUCAAACAAUGUUGUUUUAAGUUAAAUGAAUAUGUGUAAUACUCUCCAUUUUGGUUGCAGAGACUAUUAGCUUUGCUUCGUCAUCCUGACUAUUGCAUCUCUGCCUAUUCAUCUGUAAGUUACAUACAUUUAUGUUCACUUUUUUGGGAUUUCAAACUGGUCUUGACAGCAAAGUAUAUUAGUCGUCCCUUGAUAAGAUGCUCACUUUUAUGGAAGAAGAAUUUGCUUGAUUCAGACUUUGAUUAGAAUCCAUUAGAUCGUAAGGUAAGUUAUUCAUCUUGUUUAGAUUUUAGACAUCUGUAGCUUUAUUGUGAUCAUUUUAAAUGCCUACUGAAGCGUGUAAUCAACUUCUGAUAGGACUAGGCGCUUGAAUAUUGGGAAUAAAGUUAACAACUUCUCUGCUUGAUUUGCUGGCUUUUAGAUUGGAUUUUACAUUUGUUUUGCCACUUCUAAUCAUUGAAUGAACUGAGUCUUUAGUUUGCUAUCCAUGGUUUCUACAGCCUGCAUUAACAUUUUAAUUGACGUAAGCCCUGAUAAGCCUCCAAUGGAGAUGUGUACUACACAAGAGCACUGUCCCCAUAAAUCAAACCUGCAGCUUUUCUGGUCAUGCUGGACCAAAUUUAACAUUGCCCUAAGGCUGAUUCACCUGUAAAUGGCUCACUUUCAUCACCAUCUAAGACACUUUUUUUCACCUAUCUUUGGUGGUUUGAAGCAACCUAACGGUAAGUUUCUGCAGAAUGUACACCUAAUUAUCUGCUAGCUAGUUUAAUAUGUCCUUCAGCAGUGCAAACUUAGUUUUGCUGUGCAGAAUGUACGUUCUGUCAAGAAUUAUAGUACAUGCACGACGAAGUGGCAUUCUUCUUCCAAUUAAAAGACUGUAGCUAAUUAGUAACAUGCUCCUGGCCACUGAGUUUUUGCGGCUUAAUCUUCUUUAGCCAACUCUUCAUUCUUAUUUUUCUCGAUGGAUUCGUUUCUCUUGUAUCCUCAAAAUACAAUGCUCCAUAGGAUAAUGAAAACGCAUGUAUGUAAUUACGAUUUUCAAUUUGCAAAAAGAGGAGAAUAAAUGCUUUGUAUGUUGGAGUUUUCUUUCAGUGUCUGUAUAGCUUUUCAAUGUCUGAAUCUCGGUUUAAAGAAAAAUUUUCUAUAUUAACUUGAGUUCAGCUCAUUUAAAACUCUUCAAUGAGUUAGGUUUUAAUCGAUUUAACUCUAAUUUAGUCAAAACUCAGCCUAUUAUAUAAUUGUACUUCAAAUAGACUCAAAAACUUGAUCAAAAUCUAUUUUUAAGGGCCAAGAUGGGCUGUUUGAGUGAAUGCAAAUUUUUAUUUAUCAAAACCCUUGAUUUACUUUAUAAUUUUAAAAUUUCAAACAACUCUAUUUUAAUAAAAGUUAUAAAUAUUAAAGUUUUUAUUAAAUUAUUUUACCAAGGUAGAGUACAGUUACGCUACUCCGACAAAUUAACCAAAAGAUCCAUCUUUUACUUCUAGAUUUCAUUCGCAAUACUAGACUAGCAUAGUCUUAAACAACAAGGAUGAAAUAAAAUAAAAUUUAUAAGCAUGGACCAAAUCAAGAAUUGAGAUACUCUAGAUUUUCAAUUUCCAAAUUUUCAAAUCAAGUCUUUUAGUGUAUUUGAAUUCAACCUUAGACACGUCACUCUCUAAAUUUGCAAACAAAAUUUUUUUUUUUUUUUAACUUUCUCAGCUUUUCAUUUCUCUAGUGAUAUCUUCAUCAUCAUGCUCACUAUAAUCUUCAUAGAUUUUACUUUUCAUUAGCGAAAUUUUAUUUUAUAUUAGGAUGUGGAUAAACUUCUUAAAAGGAAAUCCAUACAAAAUCAAGUGACUUGGUUAUUAUAUUGAAAAAUACAUCUUUAACCAAGUUGAUAACAAAUUGAUUUUGCAACCUUUUAGAAGACUGAUAGUCCUAGAAGACAAAUGUAAUGCAUAAGGAAUACAAUAGUUUUUUACUUUAUAAUAAUUUAUAGGAAAAUUUUGUGGUCCGUUUAUAGAAACAUUCCCUCAAUGUAUAUCCCACUAUAAUAGGGAUUUAUAUUUUAAAUAUUUAGUACCGUUACAAUCCAAAGUUAGGGUACUCUGUUCUUAUAAUGGAGGAAAGCUAUAAAGAGCUAGUCUUUUAUGGGAAAGUGAUACUUUACAGAAAGUGACCGCGAUUUGGUUUAUGAAAUUACCCCAAACCAAAAUUUAGAAUGAAUUUGUUUGUUUUGAAACCUCAAGGGAGUGUCAGUGCAAGUGUAUUCCUUUGUUUUAUAAGAAUUGUUAUAAAAAUCUCGGAUAAAUUUGAAAUUUAAUUGCAUUUAAUUCCGAAACACUCAUCAAACCAAGCAUCAGGAAUAGGAAUGAUGCUAAUUCCAAUGUGUGAACUAAGCUAGAUAUUGGAAUGAAAAGUUUAAUUCCAAAAUCCAGAGUCUAUGAUUCCAUUUCCAUUUCCGGUUCCAAUAUGUGAAACAAGCACCCCUAAGUUAUAUUGUAUUCAAAUUUGACCCACUUAGACUUAGUGCAUGUCUUGGCUCCGCUUCUACGUGAUAUUAAUUGUAGAAUCCAAAUUUUAGGGUUCUAAUAAUAAUUAGUAUAUACAGGAUUACAGUAUUAAAGAAAUAAAAUAAUCAGCCAUAUGUGAGUGAGAGAAAAGAAAAUAAAUAAUUCAGAUUAUUAUUGACAUCUCAGAAGAAAGCCACACCACAAUUUAUUGAAAUCUCAAAUUUCAAAGCAAUAGAAGAAAGCCAUAUCACAAUAAAACUUAAUAAACUCUUUAAGACUUUUUUUGAGAAAACACUCAUGUUUUUAACCUACAAGGCUUGUUGGGUGAAAUAGAAACUUACCAAUAAAACACAUAGAGUUAUUAAAAACCGGAUCCCAAUAAAACUAGUAAAUAUAUGAAUAGAAACUUCAGACGGGGAUACGUGGUGCUUGCUGACGCAAGUUCCAUGCUGUCAACAGACUUCUUGCAUGGGAUCUAAGCCCAUUGAGCAGCAUUUGGAUGCCGCUGAAAAGCCAAUAGCAGGUGCACUGAAGCAGCGGCCAUGCCGCUAUAGCAGCAGAUAGUGCCCAAGAAGCCUUAAGCAGCACUAGCCCAGGGUGGUACGGGAGGAGCAAGGAUAGUAAUGAGAAACUGGAGAGGACUCCACUAGCGAAAGCAACACCAUUCAAUAUAUCCACGUAUUUAUAGCAGCGAUUCUGCAAUUGCUUCAUAGCCAAAAAUAAUAGGGCGUAGGAAAUUGUAGCAGCAACGAAACUCCAGGUUUGCAGAGGAUGUGUUUCAAAUGGGUCCUCAGAUUUGGCCUGAUACUUCACCGAAACAACCCCAGAUAAAGAGGGAAUCGAGUAUUUUAAGACUGUAUGACAAGUAGGUGUCGAGUUCAAUUGAUCCUCAUUCACUUCAUCCCUGUAAAACAAGAUGUUUUACCAAACACGAAUUCAAAGAAACCCUCUAAGCAAAAAGUGUGCUGAAUCUCAAAUGCACAAAGUCUCUUAAAUAGCCAAGAUUCAUGCCCCGUCAUUAUGUAUACAAAACUCUCUCAUGAUAUACGACGGACUGACAAAAUCUAUCUGGUUGUUCUGGUACUUGACAUAAAUAUAUAACGGUGCAGAAGCCAAGAUAAGCAAAAGACUGAAAAGCAUUCGAAGCCCUGUAAGUACAAAAAGGAUCGUUAGAAUAUGUAAAUGAGUGACCAUCUGACCUGCGUGGGUUGUAAAGGAUUUUGCUAGAAUUGAAAAAUAGAAUCUAAUGAUUGGUAUGGACUAUGGAGUGGAUGGUGUGACGACCCAACCUGAUCCUCAUUUACACCUUAGAAAUCUUAAAAUUUACACUUUAAGAAAUCUUAAUAUGUCCUCCAGAGUCAAACCUAGAAGUACAUUUCCAAAGGCAAAGACAUGAUUGCUAGCAUAUAACUCAAAAUCUCAAAACAAAAUACGCCAUUUGACUUUCCUUGUCAGAUAGUAACUUUUAAUAACGUCCUUGAAGCCCUGGCAAACCAGGUUGUCUCAAUUGAAUUCAUUCACAUUGAAAAUUAUUAUUAUUAUUAUUAUUUUUGAAAACACCAAAAACAAAACUUGUAACCUAACAAGCCUAAUGAGAAGCAUGUGUGCACGAAUGAUCAUGGUUCGCGGUCGUGGGUCGCGUUCGCGUCGGCGUCGCGGUUCCGGUUGUUCCACAUCCGUCACGGCAUAUCGAUUAAAUAUCGGGUGAUACGCAAGUUAAAGUAUAUAAAACUUUCAAAAAUUCUAAAAAAAUUAUUAAAAAUAAAAAAUAAUAUAAGCAAUACAACUAUCAAAUUAAAUUUGAUAAAAAAAACCUAAGUUAACAUAGACACCAUGUAAGUCUUUAAAAAAAAAUGAUGCAGUUCUAAUUAAUAAACAAAAGAUGUUGAAAAAAAUCCAGUUCAUUUGUUGUUAACUAAUCCAAUUUAAUAUUUGUUGGACUAUUCUAAUAUUGUUCCUUUGGUGUCAGGGGGGUUGAAAUGUUGAAUGAAUGGAAACGCGAAUUCAUUCAAAAAACAGAGGAAUAAAGUUUUAGGUAUCCCCCUUUGAUCAAGAAAUGUUUGCUCGGGUUACAGAGAAAGUUGGCAGGAAGUGAGAUAGAAUCCGGUGGCCAUUGACCUGUGAUUUAGCUGUAAUUUUUUCUUUUUCUUUUUUUUUGUUGUUGGGUGUUUCUCUCUCUCUCUCUCCUCACUCCAUUCUAUCCCCUCACAUUCCCACAUACACAACCCACACUGCCUCCCAUAAUCCCUAGAAAACGUCCUUCCAUUCCACCGCCUUCCCCCCUUAUUUCUCUCUGUCUCUCUCUUCUCAAGCUCCACCACCAUUACCAGUUUACCACCACCCACAAGAAUCUCCAAAACCCCUCAUCCCACAAAAUUUUUACAGAUUCAUCUUACUACCAAAUUUGCUCCAAUUCUUCUUGUUCGUACUCCCAAUAUGAAGAUUGGGAUCAAUCCCAACGAAAUUACGAGUCUUACAAUCACAACCCUCAAGAAACCUCAACUAAUCAUGAUGGGUUGCACUAGCAGAAGUGAUGGAAUGAGGAUGGCAACCGGUGGGAGAAAGAGAAAAUCAUGUGGGUGAUUUUGUUGUCUGACUCGCGAGUUGACUCAGCCAAACUCGGUAAGUUUUACUGAUUUCUUAUUGAUUUGAGUUGACUCGGUAAAUAUCAACCGAGUCAAUUCGGAUUCCGGUGAAACGGCAAUUCGAGUGUCGGCCGCGUACUGGUGAGUUCAGUUCCGGUUAUGACUCGGCCGAGUCAACUCGGACUCGGCCGAUUUGGCGAACCAUGCAUUUGAUGCACAUUAUUCUUGACACACACACAAGUCCGAAUCUUAUGAAAACGAAACUCUCAACUCAAACACAGGUCAAAAUGUUCUUAACGAGUUCUAGAAAAUUAAUCAAAAUUAAACCUAUAACGAAGGUUGAUAAUAUUCAAGCUUAACCAGAUAAACAUAGGCAAACCAACAAGUAUUGCCAUUGUUAACAAAACACCAUCGCCGACUCCCCAGGCAAAAGUGCGUUCAACCUCAGCGCACCAAUUGCCUCAAGACUUUGUACAGAACAGAGCUAACCUCUUGACUUUGUACUUGAAAAACGGACAUGAACUUGCCCAUGAAGUUCCAACUAUCAGAUUGCAAAAUAUCAUGUUUGCUUGCCAAAAGGAGGUCAUCCAAACACGAAUUCAAAGAAACUACAGAAUAUGCCAAGAUUGCACAAAGUCUCUUAAAUAGCCAAGAUUCAUGCCCCAUCAUUAUUAUGUAUAUAAAACUCUCUCAUGAUAUACGACUGACUGUCCAAAUCUAUCUAGUUGUACACUUGUACUAGUACUUGACAUCAAUAUAUAAUGGUGCAGAAGCCAAGACAUGCUAAAGAUUGAACAGCAUUCGAAGCUCUGUAAGUACAAAAAGGAUCAUUAGAAUAUGUAAAUGAGUGACCAGCUGACCUGCGUGGGUUUCCGGCGAGAUCAUUAUCGUUAGCAGGAUCAAGUUGGAUCACAACAGCGUCCCCCAUCAGUACUUGUUGCGAUGGAAGGAUGGAACCAGUCGAUAUUAUAUAGGACUUCAUGUAUGGAACUCGUCCCCCCUCAACACUUGUUCCGUAAUUACGUUUUACGGAUGAUGACGUGUGUGUCGUCGAAUGACGUGUAUUUUGUCACCUAACCACCUUGACGUUUCAUGCAAUAUCACCUAACUACCUUGAGGUUUUCAAAAUAUCACUUAGCACCCCUCGAAUUGACAUUUUAGUAACAUUGUCACUCUUCUAACCAAAAGUAAUGUUAAAAAAUUCAUGUUGGAGGAGAGAGAUUAUUUUAGCUCCUUUAAUACCCUUAACCUAUAGAAAAAUGAAUAUUUUACAAACCAAGGAAAAAAAGUACUAAAUUGGAACCAUCUUAAAAGUGAGGAAAUGAAAAGUGAUAAGAUUUUAUAUUACAGCCAAUAGUUAUUUCUAUAGUAGAGAGAGACAGUAAAAGCAAAUAUUUUUAAAACCAUUUCUAUAAAUAAAACCCUCCGUAGCAUUGAAGGCAAUUAGCAUAUAAAAAUCAUACAUUUGAGCCAAAAACACUCAGCAAUAGAUGAAAUUCAACUUCAAUAUUAUACAGAGAAUUUACUCAAAAUAGACGGACUUUUUUAUGGGUGUGAAAUAUGAAAAUUUUAUUAUAAAAAACUCAAAUUUUGAAAAACUACAGUUCGGAAUUUUAGUUACUUUAUUUCUCUUGCAUUCUGCAUGAAUAGGAACAAAUAACUAAAUAAAUAAAUAAAGCUGUGAAACACAAAAAAAAAAAAAGAGCCUGCAGCUAUUUUUUUGCAAAUGCACUGAAUAUUUCAUUGAUUAAAUCCUAUAUUUCAUUGACAUUUAGAAAAAGAAAAACAAGUUUAGAAAAUUUAAAUAUGAGGGUAUUAUUGAAAAUUCAUCACCUUUGAUAUUAGCAUAUGGCUCUACUAUCACUUCAAGGGUGCUAAGUGAUAUUUUGAAAAAUUUAGGGGAGCUAGGUGAUAUUUCAUGAAACCUCAGCGGAGGUUUCUGAAAUUAUCCCUUGUGGUGGACUUCAUUUUGCACAAGCGGCAAGUGGGUAAAGUGUAAUUUGCACCUAAGGACGUCUUAGGACUGAAGGAGUUGCCUAAACGCGUUCUACAUGGCAGCUUUGAGAGCUCUAGUUUGCAUUCUUUUGCUGACCUGACCUUGGUUCUCCAAUUCUAAGGAAGGAAUUUGAUUGGGUUGGAAGGCUUUGACGGUGGACCCUGGAACGAUUGUGCCAUCUGAAUUAUCACGACAGAAAAGGCAACCCAAUUGGAUGCUACGAAGGAAAAUGGAAUUGCUUAUUGUAGGCUAAUUUACUUAUUUUUACUAUCGAUUUGUGAGCCGGUUUGUGCAUGUAAAAAUUAAAUAGAGAGCUCCUUUUUUCUUUUUUUUUUUUUGUGUUAACAACGUUAGAUGCCAUAUAAUCUAAUCUAGUCUAAUUUAGCAGGAAGGGGUAAGGGGAGAUGGUCAAGUAAGACCAGCCACAUAAUGUGGCAAAUUUGAGGAAGGCAGGAUUGAACCCCUGACCUCCAACAUCACCCUGGACCAAAUGGCCAGUGGCCAAAUAGAGAGCUUAAUAGCUCUAAAUGUAAAUGGAAGGCUGUCUAUUUAAAAAGAAAUAUGAGUGUAUCAUUGUGAGAACUCCUACUUUAGUUUUUCACCCCUAAUUUUUUCAUUGGGUAUUGUCGUUAACAGGAUCAAGUUGGAUCACUACAGCGUAGGGCUGCAAACGAGCCGAGCCGAGUCGAGUUUUAAUCUAAUCGAGCCGAGUCUCGACUAAAUUUUACCAAGCUCGAACUCGAGCUCGAGCUCGACGAGCUGGCAAUUUUCGAGCUCGAAAAAAAUAAAAAAAUUUAUUUUAUUUUUUUAAAAAAUAAAUAAAAUAAUAUUUUUUUCUGAAUAAAUAAUAAAAUAUUAAGGAUAUAUACGUAAUUUCACUAUGAAAAUAAAAAAUAAAAAAAUAUAUAUAUAAUAUACGUAAUUUUAUUAUUAAAUAAAAAUAAAAAAAAAAAAAUAUAUAUAUACUCAAACUCGCGAGUCGGCUCGCGAGCUAACGAGCUUAAUAUUCUGAGCUCGAGUUCGAGUUUGACUCGAGCUUGACUCGAGCUGCUCGCGAGCGGCUCGAUUCGUUUGCAACCCUAUUACAGCGUCGCCCAUCAAUACUUGUUGUGAUAGCAGGAUGGAACCAAUUCUUAUAUAUAGAAAGAAAUGGCCUUUUCACUGAAUAAUGUCUGAUUCCAAAGCUAUACAUACAACUUCGUUAACCUGGACUAAUAUUAGCCACCCACCAGUCAUUGAGGAUUUCAAUUACCAUGCCUUCUUUUAUUUUUCCAACUUAUUCCUAAAAAAAGCAUUAUUCUUCGUAUGCGUUGGCUGGCCACUUUAUCUUUAAUAAGUGCGUGUGAUAAUUUAGAUAAUGUAAAGACCAAUCUAAAAUCCAGCAAAUCAAGCAGAGAAGUUACGUGUUUACUAAUAGAAAUUAUUAAUUAGUUAGACUAAAUUUACUAAUACAUUUAUAUUAAUAUAUUUAAUUAGUAAAAAUUUCUUAUAUCCCAUUUACAAAGAGCCAAUAACUAUCAUUUACGAUGUGGUUUAUAAUAUAUUUAUUAUGUUCUAUUCCGAAAGAGUCGACGAACCAAACAUCAACUAUAGUAAUGAUACGCAUUUCAGGUACUUGAACCAAACAAAUGUAUUGGAACCAAAAAAUUUAAACAAGAUGAAUAGCUUCCCUUACCAUCUAACGGAUUCUAGUCAAAAUCAGAAUCAAGCAAAUUCUUCUACCAUAAAAUUGAGCAUCUAAACAAGGGAUUAAUAUACUUUGCUAUCAAGACCAGUUGAAGUUCCGGUGAGCAGAAACAUAGGUGUACGUCACAUACAGAUGAAUAGGCAGAGAUGCAAUAGUCAGGAUGAUGAAGCAAAUCUCCUAUGCUCUCAGCAACCAAAAUGGAGGGUAUUGCAUGUAUUCAUUUGACUUAAAACAUGUAGACUACGCACUUGUGCACAGAUUCAGCAGUAAAAAUGACUCUUUACUUCAUCUCUGACUUUGAAGUAAAUUAAAUGAGCCGCUUAUGCUUCUGAUGAAAGACAAAUCCUACGCGGCAGGAUGAAAAAUUUUAUCUUGGUCCGAACUCAUUACUAUUUAGUAAGCUUAACGGUUGAACUUGAAAAAAUAAAUAAUAUCAUCAGGGCGUGGAAAAAAGCAAGAAUUGGAAUGCAGAAUCUACGCACGUAGAGAAAUGGCUGCCUGCGCGCCGUACUUUCCCGUCAAGAAAAUUUUUUUUUACGUUCUUUGUAUAUAUACCUUUCAAUUAUCUUUUUAUUUUAUAUAUAUUAAAUUAUUACCAUAUAUAUAUUUUUUUAAAAAAAAAUAGCAAUCCAAAGGGCAGCAGUUUGGUAAGGGCAGCCGACAGGCCCUUUAUUGGUACGUUCGGCAUGUGGUAAAUCAAAAUCGUGUCACUUAUGCACUUACCACCAUUAGUGUAAGAUAUUGGGAUGAAAUUAUUCUUAUUAUAUAAAAUAAGGGAAAAAUUAGAAUUCUUAUAUAUUGUACCUAAGGACAAAUUCGUUCAGCGGCUUUAUAUUCUAUUAUUUAUUUGAAAACUUAACUUGUGGUGGAUCUUCUGCACAUGCAAAUUGUGCUUUUAUACACAGUGACGAAUUCAUGAUUUUAGUUUGGGGGAUAAAAAUUCUAUAUCAAAUAAAGCACACUAAAUGUAAACACAAAAGUUCAAUAGACUAUAAUCAGGAAUAAGAAAUUUUUAAAAACAAAAGAUAAAGUAUAAAGAAAAAAAUGUGAAAAUUAUAUUAUAUAUCGUUUCUAUUCACUAUCACCAAGAAGUGUUUAAAAUCGUGGUUGAAGAUUCUCCAAUUUGUACAAUAGUUGAUUUUUUUUUUUUUUUUUGCUUUGAUUUUCUAUACAACAAAUACAGUGUUAUAUUAGUUGCUAUUUUAAAGUUAUAGCGUUUCAAAAAUCUAAGAGUUAGUCUGUUAUAAGAAAUUUGUUUGAAAAAUAGUACUAAUUACCCUAUAUAAUCUUGGAUUUUCUAUAUAACAAAUACAAUGUUAUAUUAGUUGCUGUUCUAGUAAUUGUUGUUCAAAAAUAGUACUAAUCGUAAGGUAAUGUAGAUACUAAUGGUAUAUUUUUAUAUAUAUAAAAAAAACUAAUUGCUAGUUUGAUAUAAGAUACUUUAUCUAAAGAAAUUAAUCAAAAUAACAAAAACAGCUAUUGAUAAUUAUAUUUAAGGGGUCAGAGUUUUUAGUUGACAACUAAAAUUACAGGGAGAAUCUUAAAAUUUUAAAAACUUUUUGGGGGUUGCUGCCACUGUCCGUCCCUUCCGUGUUUGCCCCUAUUUAUACAAGCACUGGGGUUGUGCUCUACUUCAAAAAAAAAUUACAAAUGAUGACAAAAUAAAAUUUGUAGAUUACUAUUUACUAGGUAUGUGUGACUGUGUAUAUCAAUCUGAAGACAUUCAUUAAAAUAUACUUUACGUGUUAUAUGUUUAAAAAUAUAAAAUUAAUUAGAGAAACUAAAUAAACAUAAAGAAGAGUAGGCAAGAUUAAAUAAGUCAAAUAAUAAUUUGUUGCUAUAUGUGUGUGUGUGUGUGUGUAAUAUUAUAGUAGAUAAAUACUAGGUGUGUUAACGAUAAACUUAAAAGGGAAAGGUAUAUGAUUGGAAAAUUUUAGGACAAAAAAACCUCAAUGUGCUUCGUACGGACAUUGACCACAAAAAAACCCUAAUGUGUAAUUUCAGACUAAAAUCUGUUGAAACAAGAAACAGCCCAAUUUACCAAGAAACAGCCCAAUUUACCACUCCCACCAAGAAGGCGAGCACAAGCACAUAGAACAUGCGGAAAAUGAUUAUCAGGGAAGAACUGGACAACUGAACGAGCUACGCAUGCUCUCAAGCCCAGCAAAUAUACAAACUGAAAACAAGAAGAAAUCAAGUAAACAUAAUAACGCAAACUUUAACAAAAGCUUUUAGAAGUCCUCGAUUUUAUUUGGCAACAGAUAACACCACUAUAAAAUCCCAUCACAGCAAACAAUAUAACACCACCAUCCAAUCCCACAACGAAAAUUACAAAGGCUUUAAAAAGCCAGUCACCAUGACUUGGGCAGCAAAGAGACACAAGCAAAGCAAAUUAUUAACAGGAUUAUGUAACUUCCAAUAGCAAGACAGCCUUCAACAUUCAGAAGCCACCACGAAGACGCAGGACAAGGUGGAGUGUGGACUCUUUCUGGAUGUUAUAAUCAGCCAAAGUCCUUCCAUCCUCCAAUUGCUUACCAGCAAAGAUCAACCUCUGCUGGUCAGGUGGGAUACCUUCCUUAUCCUGUAUUUUAGCUUUCACAUUGUCAAUGGUAUCUGAGCUCUCCACCUCCAAAGUGAUGGUCUUUCCAGUCAAAGUCUUUACAAAUAUCUGCAUUCCACCUCUCAACCUCAGCACCAGGUGAAGAGUUGACUCCUUCUGAAUGUUGUAAUCCGCAAGAGUACGGCCAUCUUCAAGCUGCUUACCAGCAAAAAUCAACCUCUGCUGAUCCGGUGGGAUUCCUUCCUUGUCUUGAAUUUUGGCCUUCACAUUGUCAAUUGUAUCAGAACUCUCCACCUCCAAAGUGAUGGUCUUUCCUGUCAAUGUCUUUACAAAUAUCUGCAUUCCCCCACGAAGCCUGAGCACCAGAUGAAGGGUGGAUUCCUUCUGAAUGUUGUAGUCAGCCAAGGUACGACCAUCCUCGAGUUGUUUUCCGGCAAAGAUCAGCCUUUGCUGGUCCGGAGGGAUGCCCUCCUUGUCUUGGAUCUUGGCCUUGACAUUGUCAAUGGUGUCAGAGCUUUCGACCUCAAGGGUAAUUGUCUUCCCAGUGAGAGUCUUAACGAAAAUUUGCAUCCCUCCCCUCAAACGCAGAACCAAAUGAAGGGUGGAUUCCUUCUGAAUGUUGUAGUCAGCCAAGGUACGACCAUCCUCGAGUUGUUUUCCGGCAAAGAUCAGCCUUUGCUGGUCCGGAGGGAUGCCCUCCUUGUCUUGGAUCUUGGCCUUGACAUUGUCAAUAGUAUCAGAGCUUUCAACUUCAAGGGUUAUGGUCUUUCCAGUUAGGGUUUUCACGAAGAUCUGCAUCUGUUGAGAAAGAAAAAACCAAAACACCAAAUCAGAUCCAAUUAAUAUAAAUUCCUCACCCCAAAAUUGAAAUUGCUAGCAGAAAAUAUACCCUAGCAAAAGAAAACUCACUCCCAAGGAAAGACCUGAAUAACAGAAGAAUAGGAGCACCAAAUUUCUUAAUUUAGGGGUUCAACCCAAAAAUUAUAUAAAAAAAAACCCAGAUCAAAAUCGGACCACCACAAUUAAAAGCAUUAAAAUGGCAAAAAUCUUCUCGUUCAACCAAAUUAAUCCACAUGGGUUCAUCGGUUAUCAAAAGGCUAAGAAGCUACAGCGUCGAUUAAGGCAUCAAGGAACAAAAAGCCUAAAUUGAUAGAUCAUACACAAGACCCGAAUAUCAGGAAAAGGGGCAACCAAUUUCCAAAAUUAGGAUUGUAUUGCAGAAAUUAUAGAAAACCUAGCAUCAAAAUCCGACUAAUUAAAAAUAAUAAAAACGCAACCAAUAUAAUCACUAUCAGAUCCGUCUAUGAUUGGGAGAUUAAGAAACUAGAACCAUAUCAGAAUCAAUUAAAGCAGCAAACAAACAACAAAUCUUUAUGUAUUCUGAAAACAAACAGAAAAGGAUAAAUCGUCGGAGAAGGAAGGAAUUGAUUACCUUGUGAGAGAAGAAACAGAAUAGCAGUGAAGGCUUUUGAUUGACGAAUUUGAGAGAGGAUUUGAACAAGGAUCGAUGAAUGAGUGGGAGAAGGGAGGAAGAUGAGGGUAUUAUAUACAAGUUUUGAGGAGUCCAGAGCUGGUCAGCAUUGACGUCUGGGAAAACCCAAAACCGUAAGCGACACGCAAUUGCAAGUCGGUAGAUUCGCUUUGGAUCCGGGGCACCUAAGAUUGGCUAUUGACGGAUCGGACUACGUUUGCUCGAGUCGUUGGAGAAUUGACCCUACGUCUCAAAAUCAACCACUGCAUUGAGCCGAGGCCAAGUGGCUCGAUUUGGACCAUUAAUUGAAUGGAGUUGACUACUUGACUCACGUGCUCUAAUUGCACGGAUCCUUUUUCCGAUUCAGUUUUGUGGUUUCCUAAUUUCCCCCUUUAUGGUGAGGAAAAUUUUCAGGUCUUCUGUUACACAAUAAAGUGUGGCGCGUAACAUUCAUAUUACACAUUUUUUAACAUCGACACCUAUUUUUUUUUUUAAUCAUUAUGAUUAUACUUCUAAUUAAGUUGAAUUAUUAAGAUAAACACAUGUUAAUACAUGAGGAUACAAAACCGUCUGUCGAACUUAUAAACACAAAGCAACUACUCCCUCCGUCCCGUUUUGUUAGUCUUGAUUUUUUUUUCACACAGAUUAAGAAAGUGUAAUUAAUUUGGUUGGAAACAUAAAUUUAGAUUAAUAAUUUCCUAAAAUACCCUUAUGCUAAUCACGAAGAGUACCAAUUAAUAUCAAUCAUGGGUUAGUAUUGAAAAAGCUCAAUGUAUUCAAUGUAGUGGGUUAGUAUUUAAUAACAAUGUAUUAAUAACAAGAUAUUUAAUAAGGGUAUUUUAGACAAUUUAAAAGAUUACUACAUUUCUUAAUGGGAAAGUGGACUACAAUUUGGGACAGACAAAAAAGGAAAACAAGACUAUCAAAGUGGGACGGAGGGAGUAUCACAUAAACCUUCAAAUGAAUUUACAAAAGUUUCAAACAUAGAAAAUCGCUCAUAUAAUGCUUCAUGCUAAACUCUUGACAUAUAUACAUUACUAGGGUACAAAAACCAGAUAGGCUACAAUUUUGCAAAAUUCAACUCUAGAAACAUAGCCUGAUCAAAAUUAAUCUUCCAACCAUUCUAGACCUGCUUCUCAUCUGCAAAAGGAAAUUAAUUAGGGUGAGCAUCCUCUUGCUUAGUAAGUAGCCUAGUCACAUCACCAUUGGAUCGAGCAUAUUAAUAUUACAUAGAACGUUUUGUAAAAUCAUUUCACAAAAUUCAAUCACAAUUAGAAAAUUACAUGCAUAUUACAUAUACGAUGCAUAACUAUGCAUGAAUUCAUGUUUUAUUAAUUUUUAAUUACAAUAUGUGGAUCUUUUUCUCUUUUCACUUUGCAUUCAGUUAACGAGUAUUCCACGGUUAUUAUUAUAUCUCGUGACAAGACUCUUAUAUAUUAUUAUUCUUUCCCGUGAUAAGGCCAUUUAUAAGUUAAAAACGUAGUUCCGAAUAAUUACUACGAUCACUACUUUUUCGUGUGAUAGGGCCAUUUGUCUACUAUUAUAACUCGUGGAAGGGCUGUACCGGCAUUUAAAUGUAGCAAUUCUAGAUUCUUUUCCUGUCCCUUAUUUAUUCAAGCAAGUCUAAUGAUAUUCGAAAUAUUGCAUAACAAUCGCAUUUGAAACAUAUAGUACAAUUAUUCAUAAGCACAUAGUCAUCGAACAAUUACAUAUGCUCAAUCCAAUUUAAUAUAACAAAAUAUAUUCUUGCAUAACAAGUAGCAAGUAAAGCCUUUUAUGAAUACAUUUAAAAACCAUAGAGAUAUGAAAGAACCACUUACUCCAUAGUCAAGAUAAAUUGGAAUUUGUCUAUAGUGUCACCCAAAAUUCUUCUUUAUCCUUCCCCUAAAAUAGUAAAAUAAAAAUAUUAAUUAUCUGUUUGAAACUCCUAGUAGUAAUCUAGAACGUAAAUCAUCUCAACUGUUAUGCCAAUAUACUUGAGUCGACUAUAGAGUUGCACUGCUAUCUAUCAUUUUCAGCAUGGACAAAGUUCCAUUAAACAUGCAUAACAUGGUUUGUAUACUUCGGAAAAUUCAAAAUUUCAAGCCGUUAAAAACUAGAAUCAAGGCUCUAACUAUUUUUAGAAGGAACCACCGAGAGAUUCAGAUCAUAAACUUAUCUAAAUUCAGUCACAAUUCGGUACACUUUCAAGUUCCUAUGUUAUGCAAGUGGAAAUUUCAACAAAUGCAGUCAUUAGUUAAACACAUAUAACUCAGGUUAUAUAUGUCAAAUUACUGUAAAAUUGGUGGCCUUAGAACCGACACUAGAAAUGCUAAACAAAUCCAGAAGGAAUCAUUUAGUGAAUCAAUCAAUAGAGGGCCCUAAGUUGGACCACAAGUCAGCGCAAAUUCCAGUCUCUAGCUGCGCGGGUCUUGAUUUUCAGCAAAUUUUGCAAAUUUUCUGGUAUUAAUAGACAACGAAUCAGAGCUUGGAUUUUAUAUUGUUGAACUAUCUCUGAAUCUAGUUUCUAACAGAAUUGUACUUCAUCCAAUUUCAAUAUUUUCAUAUCAAGUUAUGGCCAACUUACUAAAGCUGCGCAAAGGUGACUGUUAACCUUGAGGUUAGUUAGAACCCAAGGUUUCUUGGCCAUUAACAUUUAAAUUCUCUUCAGUUUCAUGCAUAUACCCACAUCAAAUGCUUGGUUACAAGUUAAUAACAACAUAUGCAAAAAAUCAUAGCCAUAAAAUUGGUUUAUAGCUGUCCAGCUUCAAUUUUCCCAACUAGUAGUUACCAACUCAACUUUGGUUCAUAAAGAUCACCAAAUCCUAUUAAGUUCCACUAAUAAAAUUCAAUUCUACACAUUAGUUACCUCAAAUCAAGUGAACUCUGGUGGAUUUGGACCCCUAGUUGCUCCCCCAGAGUUGUUAUGUUCUUCCCUCCAUUUCUUUCUACAAAAUGAGAGCACAAAGUCGAUACAUAGGAGCUCCAAGUGGUAGAGAAGAUAUAUAUCAAGGCAAUUUGUACUUUGGUUCUCAAACUCUUGAUACAAUUGUAAAAAAUACCUCCCCCACUUAUACUAAUUCCAGCAGCACAAAGUUAUUAUGUUUUUUUUUUUUUUAUUUUUUCAAGGCAAGAAGGGGGAUUUUGUUUAUGCUGUUAGAGCUCAGCAGAUAAAAGUUAAUACUAUUUUUUCUAUGAAAAAUGUUUUCAUCUCUCGAAUGUUAGGUCUCGUGCCCUUAUUUGCAUAUUAAGUAUUAUUUUUUCAUCUCUCGAAUAACUGUGAGACAUAAUCCUCUACUCAUGAAUCUAACAAGAAAUUUUCAGCUUUUUUUAUGCACGGGAUGAUGUUGAAAUUGAUCUUCUGUAGCAUUCUAUGUGAAAAUUGAUCUUCUGUAUAAUUCUAUUCUAUUAUGUUUGUUAAAUUAGAGAUCAAAACUAAGUAUCUUCUAAGAUUACUGUUAACAUAAACUAAGGAGAAACAUUAAUUUCAACAUAAAAUUUUCAUUAACCAAUAAGCUGUAGCAGGUCAGAGUUUGGAUAAAGAGAGAGAACUUGAUUUGCAUAAUAGUAAAGUAUAACUGUAUAAAGGCUUGCUAGAUCAGUGCAAUAAUUGCAAACAUUUAUACUGUAGCAGGUCAAUAUAUGUUUUAAUUGGAUUAAUUUCACUUUAUACUCUCGAAUUAUAUGCGGUAUCCCAUUUUGAUCCUUAAAUUUCAAAAUCGGAUACUUUAUUCCCUAAACUUUCAAAAUCAUACCACCCAAGCAAAAAUAUUGAUGGAAUCCAAAAAACUAAUGGUGGAUCGAGAUGUGGGCCACAUGUGCCCUUGUGCAAGGGCAUUAUAGGAAAUUCAAGGAAAAUGUCUCAAAAAGAAAAUGAAAAUGGGAAGGAAAUUAGGGGUAUCAUCAAGGAGGGAAACUUUCCCUCUACUUAACCUAUACAUGUGGGACAUUGAUUUAAGAGUUACCCGAUCAAAGUCAUAAACCCGAUCCAAGACAUAAGAAAUCUAGGAUCGUCUUCCUCAAACAGAACAUUUUUCACUCUUGCAUUGUUGCAGCAGAAGAAUGAAGAGGAAAAAGGCCUAUGAACUUCGUUCAGCAAAAACCCCAAGGGAUGGGAAAAAAGGAAUUGCAAUUGUGAAAAAAAAGCACUACUGAUAACAUCAUGGACAAGCAUAAACCCUGCCAGAAGAUUUUAUCGAUGUGCUAAUUAAGUAGGCGUUACGGUCAAUUAGGGUUAACCUUGUACUAUCCUUUGAGUUUUUUUUAAUAGGUUUGGUGUUUCAAAUAUUUUCUAGUGUUUGAUUAGGAAAUUGGAGGCUGUUGAUAUUAGGAUUGGGUUGAUCCUGAAAUGAGUCAAAGGGUAAAGCAGAUAAUACCUAGCCUAUUGAGAUCGAUGAAGAAGAUGGAAGCUAAGAUAGCCGGCUUGAAAGAGAACUCAAGGUGGCCGCAAGGAAAAGCUAGGGAGGCUGAAGAUGUACAUCAUCUUCCAGUGGGUAUACAUUGAAGUGUGGUUUCUACUGGCAAAACUUGAGGUAAAAAAUGACCAGAGACAUUGAGAAGAAGAAGCAUUAUGAUAUAUGAAGUAGUUUGUUUAGGAUAAAUCUAAGGUUAGUUGCAACUUUUCUGUAGGUAAUGUAGUAGACUAUGUAUUAACAUAUUUUAAAAGAAUGAAAUCAGGUAGUGUUGCUGUAGAAAGCUGUUUACUCGGAUGAAAUGUAAUUUUGCUAGCACAUAUAAGAUUAUGAGGUUAGUUUCUAAGUGGGCUGUUUUCUAAGUGGGCUUUGAUUGACUGGAAUCUUGUGUGAAAUAGCCAAAAAAUGUGAUAGUAGUAAUGAUGAGCAACUGAUAUUUGAACUGGAUUAAGCCAACUGUGAUUACAUAUCAUUCUGAGAAGAAAAAGACAUGUUCAACCUUCGCCCAAGCUAUAACAGCAAACAAAACAAAUACUAGUAGGCUAGCUCAUCCAAAAACAAAAAUAGCAGAUAGAACCUUUUUUUGACCACAAAACUAAUUCAACACCAGACAUUUAGUGGUCCUAAAUGAACAAAAAGACCCACCACAUGACUAUUUGGCACCAGAACUUCGAUUUCACAACUUAGCAAAUGCAUUCCCUUCUCCAUGGAGCUGCACAUUCCCAAUUCCACCUAAAUGCAUGUUAUGGCCCGCAGCAGCUUGGAGAGUAGAUACGUUAAAACAGAUAUUGCCAUUCGACAUGAAAGGUGCUGGUUGAAUUACUGGUUCCACUUUAUGAGCUCUUUCUUUAUCAGCCUUUUUUUUUUUUUUGGUCCCAACUCUACAUCUUUGUCUUUUCCACUUCAGCAGAACUUCUGUUAUCAAAAUUUUCUGGUUCCAUUGCAUGAUCAUUUUUGCUGUCAGUUUCGUCUGCCUUGUUUAAUACCAAAUCUGGUGGAAAUUCCCCUAAUACCUCAAUGUCACUUGUGGUAUCAGCCGAAACAUCUAUUUGUUCAGCCUCUUCCUUAGCCUGAUUUUCAUGAAAGUUAUCUCCUUGCUGAUUGGCUCCAUCAUUAGGACCUCGGGAAUGGAAAUUCAUCACAUUUCCUGCCCCUCCAACCCUUAAAUACAUUUCUGCAACCCUAUUUGGAGGUAAUUUAUUCACUAUUACCUCACAAUCUCUGUCACACAUGCAAAAUAAUAGUCCUGUGUCCAAUGGCAUGACUGGAAGUUUACAGUACUACCCAAAACCUGCAUUUUUAGGGUACCCCAGUCUCUUUGUGCACUUAUCUAGCACUUGUAAUGAACAUUUGUACUUUGCUGCCAAAAGUUACUUUUUCCUCAUUUUAUCCCUUAAACCGUCAGUUGACUCUAAUGUUGUGUAAUGGUAAUGUCAAAAAGACAUUUAUAUCCUUAAUAGUUAAAUGCAGUAAUUCCCCUAACUUGUUUUGCACUUUAUCCUCUAACAUAAUUUUUUUUUUCCAAUUUGUUUGUUUGUCACUAAAAUCAUUGGUCAACUUCAAUAUUUUAUAACACUUAGGAUAAAUAAUAUCUAAAAAAUCAAUAUUCCUAAUACGAUAAUAAAAAAUAAUAUAUUUAUAGAUAUGGCCCUAAUUGAAUUUCAUCCCAUAAUUAUACUUUUUUAAGAUUGAGGGAAAUAUCUUGUUGAUUUCAUGUAAUAAUGGAAAAAAUAAUAAACAUUGUUAUUGAAAAAUGUAUAUGCAAAAUUAUUAUUAAAAGACUAAAAAUGCUCGAAUAUUGCCCGUUUCUCUUUAUAAAUCUGCAUAUUGUUGUGCUUUUCUUUUAAUAGCUAGAUAUUUUCUUUAUAUUGGAGAAUACAUUUUUUUUUUCAUUUAUAAUACUUAGAAAAGAGAGAAACACAGUUGAUUUGGGGUUCAAAAUUUUUGGGUUCAUUUCUUUUAGUACAUCAUGAUUAGAUGCUAUUAAAAAUUGUUUGGAUUGCUAAAUUUUUCUAAGAAUCUUUUUUGUUGCAUCAUAGACACGUUUCUCAUUCAUCUAUUUAUUUUUUAACCACUUUUUUAGUUUACAAAUAUCAAAUCACAAAAAAGUAUUACAAUAUUAUUUCUAAAAAAAUUUCCAAAUAAUCUUCAAUACAAACAAAUCUAUAGAACUUUAAUAAUAUUUUUAUUGUUUAUUUUUCACUAAAUAAUUUUGUUUUUUCUCCAUAUCAAAUAAAAUGAGCAGGAUAUUUUCCUCUAUCCAAAAAUCUGAAACUAUGGAGAUAAAAUUUAACAAGAGUUGGCUUCUCACAUAGGUAGAAUUCAAAACCAAUUGUGUAAUUUGUGUGAAGUUAUUUCUUCUAAUCAUAUGCAAAUCGAUCCUAUUAUGAAUGGUGAGAAUGUUGUAUGUGAAAGUGGAUUACAUUUUGAUCAAAAUGAUGGAUCUAAUUUAUGUUUCAACGAGAAAAUACCUAUAUCACAUGAUAAUGCCUUUAGAAUAAAGUUUGAAUCUCAAGAGAUAAGCAUGAAUGAUGUAUAUGUAAUCCCUCUUCAAGCGUGUGUUGCAAAUGAAGAUUCCAAAGUCAUAAUCGCUCAAAAAGGCUACGCAGACGUUUCUUUGGACAAAUUUUAAGUGGUGUGCCCGCAAAGUAAUAACCCAUGCAACACUUGAAAUAUUCUUUUUUCUUUGGACAAUUCUCAAGUGCGUUGAAGCAUAUAUUCUUCUUUCUUAUUUCUAACAUUCUCGAAAGGAAUUAUGAUGUUAAAAUUUUCUUGAGUGACAGCAUGGUUGUAUCUUAUCCGUCAAUCGCAUACGAUAACACAAGGACCCCCCAACCGCACUGGCUCUCCAUUUAACUCUCCCUCCUUCUCCAUUUAACUCUCUCUGAUCCCUCAGUUUUCAUGAACAUGGUACAUUUUGGCAUCUCUUGCAACAGGAAACAAAACUCCCUCUCGGCUCUCUCUAUCAUGAGACGCUCACCAACACAAUUAACACUCUUCACUCCCUCUCUCUCUUUUCCUCUCUCCAACUCUCUCUCUGUCUCUCGGCCACUCUUCCCCUAACAGCAUACACUACACACAGAAACACACAAUUGCACACACACACAAGUAAACACUUGAAAUAAAAAGUCAGGAUGAAGACGUUGGGUUCCUCCAAAGUUUCUAGAGAUUGAGAGCAGCACUGCCAUUAUCAUAGCAAAGCUAAAGCCGUUGCCAAGGUCCCUUUUAAUAAUCUUUAAGUUCUAGUUCAAGAAAUGGGUUUUUGUAAAGUUUCAAAUUAUUAUUUUUAGUUUGUUAUUUUUGACGCUGUAUGACUGUAUCUGUGGGCUUAUUUAUGUUACACGUCUAAUGAGGAGCAAUUUGGAACAAGUUUGGUAAAGUAUGUGCUUGUUUUGAAUGAGUUUAUGAAAUUGAGAUCUGGUUGUAAAUAGUCAUUUUUGCUACUUUUCACUUCUUUUUUUUUUUUUUUUAAAUACCGAGGACGGAAAUGGAAUCUAUGCAAAAGACUCAGUGGAAGAUGAUAGUUUGGGGUAAAUCUAUCACUGGAAGGCUAUGACUGGCGGUGGUUGGUGGCGGCAAAGGCCCGCAGCACUACCGUUGCUGGUGCUCAUUUCUGCGGUGGCUAGGGUUGAGGAAGAAGAAGAGGGAAAAGGAAAACAUAGCGAAAAAAAAAAGGGGGAAAAUCAAGUUUAGUAAAACUACAUAGCAUUGCCCAAGAUCUAAACUACACUGCUCCACUAAAAGGUUGAAAAUGGGUUUCAAAAUCAGAAACUAGAUUUGCAAUUUGGUCCAUCAAUUUCUUGAAACCUCACUAUAGGCCUACAACUUUGAUUCUAUUGCAUCUAGGUCCAUUUUAAUGCAUUUAGGUCCAUGAACUUUAAUGUUGAUCUCUAAUCUUUUUAAUAAUAUGAUUUUGACCAGUAAAACUCUCUAAUGCUACGAUUAGGUCCCACUAGAAUGAUAAUUUUUCAAUUAAAGUAGUUUGAUUUCUUUAAUUACUAUUUUAUUCCUCAAUUGUGCAUUUUUAUGUGUUUUUGUAUGACUAUUACAACUAAAUGACUUAGCUUUGGUCUUUUAUUACUAUGAUAUGAUAGUGGUAUCUUUAUUCUUUUUGUUCGUGUUGUGAGUUCUAAAUAGGGAAACCUUAAACCAACACUUUAAAGGGGGUACCCUUAUUGGUUUUACAUUCAAUUAUGUGCUAUUAUGUGUUUAUAUGUUCUAAGUUGUUUUAAUUCUUAGUUUGCCAUUACGAUACCUUAUUAGUUGUAAUUUUAUUCUUAAAAUGCUUGUUUAUUUUACUCUAAUUUUAUCAUGUUCUAUUCAUUUAAAUAAACAAAAUAGUUCGUUUAUUUUUUUCAUUUUCCCUUUGUUAGAUUGCAGUUAAGACCUUACAUAUAAUAGAUAGGUUUAUUUUUCAUCAUUUCCCUUUCAGAUUGUAAUUAUGUUCUCUAAUGUAAUAGUUAAGGCUUGUGUGUGUUACGUGCACUUAUGUGCUUACAUAUUUGCAUGCUUUCAUAAGGAUUGACACAUCUAGAUAUCAUGCUUAUUUGUUAUGUGCUGAGUGUGCUUUCUAUGUUUACUCCUUUUAUAUCAUGCUAUAGUAUACAAUGCCUGCUUAGCUCCAGCACACUAGUACAAUCCUAACUGUGACACCUUCCCCCCUUUAUUUGCUAAUCCAAUGCUAGUGAAGAUUUGUAAAAAUAGUAUAGUUCAAUGCUAAAAUCUUAGACUUUUUGCACAUUAAAUCCAUGUAUUGUAUGUUAUUCAUUCUAUUUUCGCACAUAUUUUUUUAUUUUUGUAGACUCUUUUUUUUCUCAUUUGUAUGUUGUUUUUUCCUGCCAUAUGCCCCUAUCCCAUAUGUGUUUGAGCAAUUUCAUUUAUAUUUGCAUUUCGUAUAGGAAUUUAGAAAUUAGAUAGUUCAUUUACUUGUUUAGAUUAGUAAAGUCACCCUUUAAGUAUGAAAUGGGCAAUUAUUGCAAUUGUGAAAUGGUUAAGAGGUAGUAACACUCCCAAUCUUAAACUCUUCAAUGGUUAAGAGGUAAUUUAUUCACUAUUACCUCACAAUCUCUGUCACACAUGCAAAAUAAUAGUCCUGUGUCCAAUGGCACGACUAGAAGUUUACAGUAUCUAAUACGAUAAUAAAAAAUAAUAUAUUUAUAGAUAUGGCCCUAAUUGAAUUUCAUCCCAUAAUUAUACUUUUUUAAGAUUGAGAGAAAUAUCUUGUUGAUUUCAUGUAAUAAUGGAAAAAAUAAUAAACAUUGUUAUUGAAAAAUGUAUAUGCAAAAUUAUUAUUAAAGACUAAAAAUGCUCGAAUAUUAUCAAUUUCUCUUUAUAAAUCUGCAUAUGGUUGCGCUUUUCUUUUAAUAGCUAGAUAUUUUCUUUAUAUGGGAGAAUACAUAUUUUUUUUUCAUUCAUAAUAGUUAGAAAAGAGAGAAACAUAGUUGAUUUGGGGUUCAAAAUUUUUGGGUUCAUUUCUUUUAGUACAGCAUGAUUAGAUGCUACUAAAAAUUGUUUGUAUUGCUAAAUUUUUCUAAGAAUCUUUUUUGUUGCAUCAUAGGCACGUUUCUCAAUCAUAUUUUUAUUUUUUUUAACCAUUUUUUAGUUUACAAACAUCAAAUCAGAAAAAGUAUUACAAUAUUAUUUCUAAAAAAAUUUCCAAAUAAUCUUCAAUACAAACAAAUCUAUAGAACUUUAAUAAUAUUUUUAUUGUUUAUUUUUCACUAAAUAAUUUUGUUUUUUCUCCUUAUCAAAUAAAAUGAGCAGGAUAUUUUCCUCUAUCCAAAAAUCUGAAACUAUGGAGAUAAAAUUUAACAAGAGUUAGCUUCUCACUUAGGUAGAAUUCAAAACCAAUUGUGUAAUUUGUGUGAAGUUAUUUCUUCUAAUCAUAUGCAAAUCGAUCCUAUUAUGAAUGGUGAGAAUGUUGUAUGUGAAAGUGGAUUACAUUUUGAUCAAAAUGAUGGAUCUAAUUUAUGUUUCAACGAGUUGCAAAUGAAGAUUCCAAAGUCAUAAUCGCUCAAAAAGGCUACGCAGACGUUUCUUUGGACAAUUUUUAUGUGGUGUGCCCACAAAGUGAUAACCCAUGCAACACUUGAAAUAUUCUUUUUUCUUUGGACAAUUCUCAAGUGCGUUGAAGCAUAUAUUCUUCUUUCUUAUUUCUAACAUUCUCGAAAGGAAUUAUGAUGUUAAUCGUGAGUGACAGCAUGGUUAUAUCUUAUCCGUCAAUCGCAUACAAUAACACAAGGACCGCCCAAGCGCACUGGGUCUCCAUUUAACUCUCCCUCCUUCUCCAUUUAACUCUCUCUGAUCCCUCAGUUUUCAUGAACAUGGUACAUUUUGGCAUCUCUUGCAACAGGAAACAAAACUCCCUCUCGGCUCUCUCUAUCAUGUGACACUUACCAACACAAUUAACGCUCUCCACUCCCUCUCUCUCUUUUCCUCUCUCCAACUCUCUCUCUGUCUCUCUCGGCCACUCCUUCCCUAACAGCACACACUACACACAGAAACACACAAUUGCACACACAAGUAAACACUUGAAAUAAAAAGUCAGGAUGAAGACGUUGGGUUCCUCCAAAGUUUCUAGAGUUUGAGAGCAGCACUGCCAUUAUCAUAGCAAAGCUAAAGCCGUUGCCAAGGUAUCUUUUAAUAAUCUUUAAGUUGUAGUUCAAGGAAUGGGUUUUUUGUAAAGUUUCAAAUUAUUAUUUUUAGUUUAUUAUUUUUGACGCUGUAUCUGUGGGCUUAUUUAUGUUUUACAUCUAACGAGGAGCAUUUUGGAACAAGUUUGGUAAAGUAUGUGCUUAUUUUGAAUGGGAUAAUGAAAUAGAGAUCUAGUUGUAAAUAGUCAUUUUUGCUACUUUUCACUUCUUUUUUUUUUUUUUUUUAAAUAUCGAGGACGGAAGUGGAAGAUGAUAGUUUGGGGUAAAUCUAUCACUGGAAGGCUAUGACUGGCGGUGGUUGGUGGCGGCAAAGGCCGGCAGCACUACUGUUGCUACUGCUCAUUUCUGCCGUGACUAGGGUUGAGGAAGAAGAAGAGAGAAAAGGAAAAAACAGAAAAAAAAAGGAAAAUUGUUUUAGUAAAACUACAUAGCAUUGCCCUGCAUCUAAACCACACUGCUCCACUAAAAGGUUGAAAAUGAGUUUUAAAAUCAGAAACUAGAUUUGCAAUUUGGUCCAUCAAAUUCUUGAAACCUCACUAUUGGCCUACAACUUUGAUUCUAUUGCAUCUAGGUCCAUUUUUUGCAGUUUGGUCCAUGAACUUUAUCUACAUUUAAUUUUGAUCCCUUAAUUAUCUUUUUAAUAAUAUGAUUUUGACCUUUAAAACUCUCUAAUUUUACAAUUAGGUCCCACUAGAAUGAUAAUUUUUCAAUUAGAGCAGUUUGAUUUCUUUAAUUACUAUUUUAUUCCUCAAUUAUGCAUUUUUUUGUGUUUUUGUAUGAGUAUUACAACUAAAUGACUUUAAUUAGCUUUGGUCUUUUAUUACUAUGAUAUGAUAGUGGUAUCUUUAUUCCUUUUGUUCGUGUUGUGAGUUCUAAAUAGGGAAACCUUAAAACAACACUUUAAAGGGGGGUACCCUUCUUGGUUUUACAUUCAAUUAUGUGCUAUUUUGUGCUUAUAUGUUCUAAGUUGUUUUAAUUUCUUAGUUUGCCAUUACGGUACCUUAUUAGUCGUAAUGUUAUUCUUAAAAUGCUUGUUUAUUUUACUCUAAUUUUAUCAUGUUCUAUUCAUUUAAAUAAAUAAAAUAGUUCGUUUAUUUUUUCACUUUCCCUUUGUUAGAUUGCAGUUAAGACCUCACAUAUAACAGAUGAGUUUAUUUUUCAUCAUUUCCCUAUCAGAUUGUAGUUAUGUUCUCUAAUGUAAUAGAUAAGGCUCGUGUGUGUUACGUGCUCUUAUGUGCUUACAUAUUUGCAUACUUUCAUAAGGAUUGACAUCUAUAUAUCAUGCUUAUUUGUUACGUGCUGAAUGUGCUUUCUAUGUUUACUCCUUUUAUAUCAUGCUCUAGUAUACAAUGCCUGCUUAGCUCCAGCACACUAUUACAAUCCUAGUUGUGACACCUUCCCUCGUUUAUUUGCUAAUCCAAUGCUAGUGAAGAUUUGUAAAAAUGGGCUAGUUCAAUACUAAAAUCUUAGACUUUUUGCACAUUAAAUCCAUGUAUUGUAUGUUAUUCAUUCCAUUUUCGUACAUAUUUUUUAUAUUUUUAGCCUCAUUUUUUCUCAUUUGUACGUUUUUUUUCCUGCAAUAUGCCCCUAUCCCGUAUGUGUUUGAGCAAUUUCAUUUAUAUUUGCAUUUCGUAUAAGAAUUUAGAAAUUAGAUAGUUCAUUUACUUGUUUAGAUUAGUAAAGUCACCCUUUAAGUAUGAAAUGGGCAAUUAUUGCAAUUGUGAAAUGGUUAAGAGGUAGUAACACUCCCAAUCUUAAACUCUUCAAUGGACUAUCUACGCACAAGUGCUUAGUCUGCAUGUUUUGCAUACUUCCCUCAAACGGUGUUGUUUUAAGUUAAAUGAAUAUAUGUAAUACUCUCCAUUUUGGUUGCAGAGACUAUCAGCUUUGCUUCGUCAUCCUAACUAUUGCAUCUCUGCCUAUUCAUGUGUAAGUUACAUACAUCUAUGUUCACUUUUAUGGAAUUUCAAACUGGUCCUGCUUAGCAAAAUAUAUUAGUCAUCCCUUGAUUAGAUGCUCACUUUUAUGGAAGAAGAAUUUGCUUGAUUCAGACUUUGACUGGAAUCCGUUAGAUGGUAAGGUAAGUUAUUCAUCUUGUUUAGAUUUUAGACAUCUGUAGCUUUCUUGUGAUCAUUUUAAAUGCCUAUUGAAGCGUGUAGUCAACUUCUGAUAGGACUAAGUGCUUGAAUAUUGGGAAUAAAGUUAACAACUUCUCUGCAUGAUUUGUUGGCUUUCAGAUUGGAUUUUACAGUUGUUUUGCCGCUUCUAAUCAUUGAAUGAACUAAGUCUUUAGUUUGCUAUCCAUUGUUUCUACAGCCUGCAUUAACAUUUUAAUUGAUGUAAGCCCUGAUAAGCCUCCAAUGGAGAUGUGUACUACACAAGAGUACUGUCCCUAUGUAUCAAACCUGCGGCUUUUCUGGUCACGCUGGACCAAAUUUACCAUUGCCUUAAGGCUGAUUGACCUGUAAAUGGCUCACUUUCAUCACCAUCUAAGACUCUUUUUUACACCUAUCUUUGGUGGUUUGAAGCAACCUAACGGUAAGUUUCUGCAGAGUUAUUAAAAACCGGAUCCUAAUAAAACUAGUAAAAAUAUAAAAAUAGAAACUUCAAGGUUUGAUUUAUUUUGCCAACAUUCUUUGCAGUGAAAUUCAGACGGGCGAACGUGAUUCUUGCUGAUGCAAGUUCCAUGCUGUCAGCAUACUUCUUGCAAGGCAUACAAGUCCAUUAAGCAGCAUUUGGAUGCCGCUGAAGAGCCAAUGGUAGGUGCACUGAAGCAGCGGCCAUGCCGCUAUAGCAGCAGAUGGUGCCCAAGAAGCCUUAAGGAGCACUAGUCCAGGGUGGGAUGGGAGGAGCAGGGAUAGUAGUGAGAAACUGGAGAGGACUCCACUAGCGAAAGCAACACCAUUCAAUAUAUCCACAUAUUUAUGGCAGCGAUUCUGCGAUUGCUUCAUAGCCAAAAAUAAUAGGGUGUAGGAAAGUAUAGCAGCAACGAAACUCCAGGUUUGCAGAGGAUGUGUUUCAAAUGGGUCCUCAGAUUUGGCCUGAUACUUCACCGAAACAACCCCAGAUAAAGAGGGAAUCGAAUAUUUUAAGACUGUAUGACAAGUAGGUGUCGAGUUCAAUUGAUCCUCAUUCACUUCAUCCCUGUAAAACAAGAUGUUUUACCAAACACGAAUUCAAAGAAACUAGUAUAUAAUAUACAAACACUCUAAGCAAAAAGUGUGCUGAAUCUCAAGCGCACUAAUAUACAAACACUCUGAGCAAAAAGUGUGCUGAAUCUCAAAUGCACAAAGUCUCUUAAAUAGCCAAGAUUCAUGCCCCGUCAUUAUGUAUAUAAAACUCUCUCAUAAUAUACGACUAACUGACAAAAUCUAUCUAGUUGUGCUGGUACUUGACAUAAAUAUAUAACGGUGCAGAAGCCAAGACAAGCAAAAGAUUGAAAAGCAUUUGAAGCCCUGUAAGUACAAAAGGGAUCGAUAGAAUAUGUAAAUGAGUGACCAACUGACCUGCGUGGGUUUCCGGCGAGAUCAUUAUCGUUAACAGGAUCGAGUUGGAUCAGGACAGCGUCCCCCAUCAAUACUUGUUGCGAUAGAGGAUGGAACCAGCUCAUAUAUAUAGCGUACGUACCUAAGGUCUGAGAGUAGUGCGCGAUGCGUACCUAACGUCUGAUGGUAAGUAUAGGCGUACGUUGUUUCUCGGAAGUAUCCUCCGACUCCUAGCCCUCGACCGCAACCGUCAACACGGUGGAUAUUUUCCAGAAGCAAAUUAUCCCUAUCUUCUACUUUCUCAAGGGGUGUCAUUUGCCCUAUUUUAAAUUUGCUACAGACAUUCAACGUUCUCAAGCACACAAGCGACUUGAAAGCAAAUGUCCAUACUAGUGUCGGUUGUAUAAAAUCAUAUCCUCAGUCCUUUUCGUAUCCGAGUCAUUUCACGAGAAAAAAAAAAUUCCGUUAAAGAUAGGUUUGAGGAUACAAAAAGAAAUGGAAGAGUAAACAUCGCAUGAAUAGUACAAAAUAUAAGAACAGUGCUUAUACAAUAAGAAAGGUAUAAAAUAUAUGAACAUUGCUUAUAUCAAACUUUGCAUGAAUAUUUAAUUAUUCUACUUUAUAUAUUUCCAGUUUAACUUUUCAAUUUUUUUAUGAAUUUUAAUCGAAUAAUGUGAGGUGCGCUGUUGAAUUUGGAUUAUUUACAUUUUUUCUAAGUGUUAUUGAGGUUAAUAAAGAAUGUAAAUGAUUUGUACUGCUCAAUUAUAUUAGAUUGGUUAUAUAGUUGUCAAUCAAAAUUCAAUUGAUAGAAAUAGUUGGAUUUUUUUAUUUUUUCUUUGUAUUUCUUCAUAUUGAUAAAAGCACAUAAUUAUGCAUCUAUCUUGUGAUUUUCAUAUAAAGUUCUCCAAAUGAAUAUGAACUCUUUUCUCUUAUUAUAUAUUUCUCUUUUGUUCUAAGAACAUCUAUUUUUUAUACUAAUAUUUUUUACAAUCUUAAAAUUGUGGCUAGUGCAAUUGGUCACACUAUUUCGAGUAAGAAAUUGUUUCGGAUAAAAAACUUUUAUGCAUAUAAGAAUUGGAGAUUGAGUGCAAGGGUUGCUAAAUAAUUUUAAUAGGGAUCUUUUGAGAUUUAAUCAUUUACAAUGUUUCAUAUUUUUUAUUACCACUAUAAUUGAAAUGCAAUAACUCUAAUGGAAAGACAGGAAGGUAAUAUAAGCAAAAUAAAAACUAAGAUCAAAAAAUUCUUACUCUCUACAAUGUCAAGACUUAUCAUAUUUUUAAUAUUAUAAUUAUAAAUAUAUAAUAUAUCUUACAUCUAAUCGAACUAUAUAAAAGUGGGUGUUGCUUGAAUGAACACUAAGGAGUAUGUCGGUUGGUUAUUUGGGCAUUGGUGGAUUUGUUUGCCCUAUUUUGGUCCAUUUGCUCGGUGUCAUAGAUUUGGAGGUAUUACUUUAGCCUUAGUUGUUUUUCUGUUUUCCAUUCAUUUUUGCCUUGAUCCAAGAUCUAUGUUGCCAGUUGUUUGGCUGCUUUGUAAUUUACUUCUUCUUUGGCCCUAUUUUUGAUUGACCCAUUGUUCUCUUUUGUUGACCACAUACCUCAUUUUUUGUUUCUAAGCUUUUUUUCAAUUGAAAGAUGAAAGACUGCUUCAUUCGUUGGAAGUUCACUAUUUGACUCUGACUUCCUUUUACACUAGGAUAUUGGAGCUAUGCCCGGGUUUAUACGAGAAAUAUGGUCAAACACAACAUUAUUAUCCUUUUCUUUUAUGUUCUCUUUCUUCGUGUCAUUUUUUUUACCUCUCAAACUCCUCUUUCCUUAAUAUUCCCUCUACUCCUCUUUUCACUUUCUAAAUCUAACUUUUUCGCAUUGCUGUAAAUUUUUCUCGUUCCUUCAAAUCCUACUCAAUUUUCUUGUAUCCCUACAACCCUUUCUCAUUUCAUCAAAUCCUACUUUCUCUUUACUCUAUGUCGCUCCCACUCAAUUAUCCUACCUCUUAUCCAAUUUUAUAACCCACUUGUUUCUUAUCCUACUAUUAUUUUCAUCUAUUUAUAAAUGUAAAUGAUAAUCUAUUUACUUGGCUCACCUAUUAACAAAUGAGUUUGCGUGUGUAAUUUAAUUGAAUUCAAAUGGAUGACCAAAUUAACCCAUUAAUUAGUGGGUAUGAAAUUGACAGAUCUGAAUCACUUAUUUUGACUUAAUUAAAUUAGAUUAAUCAUUAGUGGGUAAAUCUAAAUUACUCUGAUAAUUAUAUUCUAAUUUUUUCAAAGAUAUAUUCAUCGUGUUUCCUCUUCUUUAAUUUCUAUUAUUUUAUUUUUUAAAAUUUAUCCGACUUCCUCCAUUCCUUUCAUAAAAGUUUAAUAAAUUUCAUGAAUGCUAAUUGAUUGUUUGCAUUAAUACCUAAAUUAUUUUUAGAUUGCCAUAAAGUGACAAAAUUUGAAACUCACUGUGAUGACCAUUUUAGGCUCCUCUAAGCAAUUUUUUAUGUUUUUUUCUCUUUCUUUAGGUAAAAAUUGAUUUAUUAACUUGAUAUGUUGAUAUGGUUUACUAUUUUGUUGCUAAACAAAAUAUGGAUGAAAAAGUAAAUAAAAUUUAGUAGCGGGCUGUGAAUGGGUGAUUGGAUAAUCCAAACCCAUAUAAAACUGUAUUUAUUAAAAUAUAAUUGCAAUUCUAAUAAUUAUAUAAGUAGGAAUAUAUAAGUUAACCUAAUUAUAACUUUUCCAGACUCAUAUGAAUCAUCUAAUUUGAUAACUGUCCUCUAAUCUUUAACUUCCCUAACACUAUAGUCCUAUUUUUCUAAUCCUUUCACUAUUUAGAAUUCAUUAUCUCACUUUUUAAGUUUUUUGGACAUAUAAAAAAGUUAGUAUUAUUUUUCCAAGUUGCUGCUUCAUUUUUAAGUGUUUUUAAUCAAAUAAAAAGCUAGAAUUGCAAUCAUCGAGAAAAAGUAAACUUUCGGAUGUAAAUUUGGUGAAAUACAACCUUUUUAUCAAACUUUCCCUAAAAUACCACCAAAAGCAAUCUUCUAAAUACACCUUUAUUAAUUUAAAAUUCAUACAUAAAAUUUUCUUUACCUGCACUUUUUGGUGUACAUGUGCUAAAUGAAAAGUCAUUUAGAUGCUUGCACGAUACUAAUAUUGAGUUUAUUCUAAGUGCAAAUAAAAUGUCAUAGUUGUUAUUUACAUACUCCAAUGUAAUGUUAGAGUAUAAUUUCAGCAUUCAAAUUUUAAAACUUAAAAAAAAACCUACUAAAUAAAAUCCAGCAUAAAAAUUAUAAAAAUUAUAAAAAGCAAACCUAUUAAAGUGCCCUAAGCUUGUUGAAUACAAAAAAAAAAAGAGGGUAAGUUUAAGACCACAAGAAAAUUGAUUUAGUAAUUGUAACAUAAAUUAUUAAAAAAAUAAGAGUAAUAGAGUAUGUCAUUAGAAGAUUUUGACAAAUAAUUAUUGUACCCAGAAGGAAAGCAAUAAAGAAAUAAUUGGGUGAAUAAAUAAAAAAAUUAAUCACAUUAUCUCGAGGAUUUGGCUAGAUAAAUUAAUCCUCUUUAAUGAAGGAAUAAAAGGGGCUAAGGUGAUAAAAAUAUAAUAGCGUGAAUAAUUUUAAAAUGAGACUAAUCAAUUAUCCCUGAGAAUUUUGGCUUGACCAAUGUAUUUUAUUUAAUUAAGAAGUAAACAGGACUUAAAGUAUAAAUAACAAACUAUAAACGGUUUGCAAAGGAGAUAGUAGGAAAGUUUCAAAUUUUAAAUUUGACUAGUGAUAGGAUUAGUUAUAACCCACUAUUUUAAAGUUUUUAAUUAGAUUUUACGUAUUAAAAUAAAUACAAAAAUCUAGAAAAAAGAAUGAAAAAUUUGAAAGCCAUUGAGAGAGUCUCUUCUAAAACCCUUUCUGCAGUACAUAUAGAUAUAGAUUUGCAAUGCUAUAUUUCAUGCGUGCCUUUUUUGCCUUAUAUUGUAUUGUGUUAUUUCCUAUUUUUGUGGUACUUUUUUGCCCCUUUCUUUGCCCUUUUACUAAUUGUUUCUACUUCCCCUGGCCAAUCGGUAAUUUUGUUACCUGCUGCUGUGCUACAUUUUCUGUGGCGCGUGGAGCAGGUAAAAUUUUCUAUCUUUUUGUUUGCCACUAAAAUUGUUGCUUUUGCCCUUGCAUUAAAUUCUCAUGGUACUUUUAAAAAAAAACACAUCUGUCUAAACUGCCUGCUUCUUGAUUUUUUGAUUUGUUUUUGUCAUUUGCAAACUCAUAUGAAAGACUAGGUAAGCUAUCCCGCGCGAUGUGCGAGCGCCAGGUUGCUGUGUUUAAAAAUCGGUGUAUUAUUUUAUGUGUUAGUAUGUUUUGGAGAUUUUUGAAAGAGUUUGGUCAUGGGAUUUUUUAUUACUAUAGGAUUUAUUUUUAUUUUUUAAAUUUUUUAAUAAAUUUUUUAAAGUUUUUUGUGUAUUUUUUAUUUUCAGUUUUUUGGUAUUUUUUUAUUUGUUGUUAUGGUUCUUUUAGCAUUAUUUUAUUUUUUAAUCUAUUUAUAUAUGGUUUUUUUAUUUUUGAAUUUUUAAUCUAUUUAUAUUUUGAAUUUUUUGGUAUUUUGAUUUUGUUGUUUGUUCAACGUUUGCAUAGUAUCUGUAUUUGAUAUUAUAUGAUGGUAGGAUUUGGUUUUUGGUAUUCACAUGUGUAUAGUUGGUGAUUGUUUGAAAGGCAAAUAUUCUUUAUGUUAUAUAUAUAUCAUUUUUCCUUUAUACAUAUAAGAAGCACGUGUGGGUUUUACUGUUGAGGAAACGUGUGGUUGCAUGGUUUUGGUUGUAUGGGUUGUAGCUGGCAAUGCGAGGCAGUAUGCAGUCGUGAAGAGUGGAUAUAUUCGAAGGGUGAAAAUCCAUUAAUAACCUUCAGCAUGUGAUCAUUGUGAGAGUUAUUUGGUAUAUAAGUGUGGGCUAGUUAGUUUAAUUUGAUUUGGUGAGUGAGUCUUGGUUGAUUUGCAAGUGGGUGAAUGGCACAUAAUGAUCGAGUAUUUUCAACAGUUCAGGAUCUAUGUCCAGAGUUGGAGGAGGAGCUCAGUAGGCUAAGUAUUGGUUCUGCUAGUGCUUACCUUAUGCGAAACUCUUUUCGGAAUCGUCCUGCUGAGCCUAUAGCUCGGUCUCAAGUUACUCAUAUGAUUCUGAAGAACGAGAUUUGUGAUUUGUUUAGGGUUUUAUAUAGGGAGCGAGAGUGGGGACUUGUGCUGGACAGCGGAUUAGUUGGUGGGAGGAGGUUGCCGAUGCCAGAACUUAUAGCUUCGAGAAUCAAGUUCGAUGUAGCUGAGGAACUACUGUUCUUGCCCUGUUUGCCCUCUUUUGACAGUACUGGUAGUAACAAUAAGUGAGAGAGUGUUGUCUAGUUUAUGGGAAGUGUUGUGUUUAGUAAGGUAUUUAGUGAGUUGAGCGUUGGUUUAUGUGUUUGUUGACCUUGUGUUGUGUAAUUUCAGUUGUUUUGUGUUUGUUUUUAGUCUGAGUAAAUAAAGCAGUAGUGCUUUGUUUUUAUGUAUUAUUAAAUUGAGUAAUAAAGCAAAUAGGUGGGAAUGAAUUGUUUCUUUAUAAUUAAUUGUUUUAUGAUGAUAUUUUAAUUUAGUUAUUUUUUGUGUUCAAUUUUUUCGGUUGUCCGUAUUCGCGUUUGAAAGUUUUCGGCACAAUAUGAAUAAUGUUUGUUUUCGCGUGAUGUCUGUGUAAUGUGCAGUGAAUUGGUUUGUUUUUCCUUUGUGGAAUCUUUGUGAUCCUGUGUGCAUGUGAUUUUGCACAGGAGUUUGGGAGAUUUGUGGUAUUAUAUAGGUGAUAUUGUGUUUUAUUGUCUGUAAGUAUAGUGUGUAGCUGGUUUUUUUCUUAUACUGUAGCAUUAACGUGUAGAAAUGGAUUAUAGCCAUAAUCGUUUUGGAGUAUUAUGGGAUUUGCAUCUAGAUGUUGAAGUCAUGUUUAAUAGAUUGUCAUUAGCUGGUGUUGCGGGGAGUUUGCCCGGACGUGAUGGACAAAACGCUUCUUUGUCUGGUUCUGAUAGAGCUCUGGCAAAUAAUAUUUUGCUACGGAACAAGAUAUAUGAUUUGUUUAAGAAGUUUUAUCGUAAAUCUGGUAGGGUUGCUGUGUUGGAUGAAGUUUUGGGAGAUGUUGGGGAGUUUCCGUUUCUUCAAAUAAUUGCUCAAUGGAGGUUGAGGCCGAAGAGCAAAAGAAAACUGUUAGAAGUGCUAUGGUGUGUUUAUGUUUUUUUUUUUGUGUAUUUGUUGUGUUGCCUUUAGUUAUUAUUGUCUAUAGAUGUUGGGAAUGUAUUCUGUUCAAGUAUUUGGGUUUCUGUACUGUGUUGCUUAAUCCACGUAUUUUUCAAGAACAAUGAACGGAGAUUUUCCACCAGAUUCGAUCGUGAUGAUCCCAAGGUUGAGGCAUGUCAAGUAAAUAAACUACAUGAAAUAGAGAGAAUAGGGAAAAGGAAAAACAAAAGCAAUUGACAUCAAAUAUUCGUGCUGUUGACAUAUGUUGUUACUCCUGCGAGAAUCCUGUCUUGCAACCCAGUAUUCAGACUAAAGUUUGAAUCUUUUCAUUUGUUUUUAUUCAACUUUUUCUCCAGUAACCCAAUGCCAAAAGCCAAGAACAAACAGUUAUUGUUUCCUACACUCAAAUGCUUCUAUGGAUAAAUUUAGAACGUGAAAAAAGAAGAGAAGAAAAAUACAGAACACACACCUGGGAAUUUAAACGUUGGAGAUAAGACGAAAAAGAUAGAAGUCUGCAGAGAAGGGGAUUCCCCGGAGUUGUGCUACUAUGUUUGAGGCUACCCCCCCAAAAAGACAGAAAAACCUGCUUUCCACCGGCCACAGUCAUCCCUGAUUAGCCAUCCCAUACCAGCUCUUCCCGGAUUUCCUGCUGAGGCUCCGCCCACAUUGAUUUUGGUCCAAGCAUCUGGUGGUUUUUCCCACGCAAUGAAACAUUCUUGGAUGUUAUCUCGCCCCUUAGUUCUAGUGGUGUUGUCAUUUGUUUGUUCCACCGGUAGCAUGAGGCUUUCUGGAGUAGCAUGUAAUAGGGAAUCAUCUCCUUGACAGAGGAACAGAUUACUUGCUCUCUAUGCGAAGUAAUUCACUAACUGAAAAGCUGUCUACCAACUGGUUAAAAUUUGAUAUUCAGGACGUAUUCAUUCAGGAGAAAUUGUGUCUGAUAAAUACAAAUGAUGAAAGAAUUCUCUGGUGAAAUAGAAUUCAUAUAUGAAAUCCUUUACAUGUUGAAUCGAUUUUAUUCCCAUCGAGCUUUCAGAGCUGGUUAACACGUAUAAAGCUCAGGAAAUUAUGGCAGUACAUAAUUUCUAGAUUCGAUUGCUUAGACAUAAUACCUAGUCCUGGUCAAAAUCCAAAGUUAAUCAGCAGCAAGGGACUAGUUAUAUUUGCUGUCAAGACUAGUUUGAAGUUUCAGUUUAGCAGAACAAAGAUUCUACGUCACUUACAGAUGAAUAGGCAGAGAUGCAACAAUAAUCAGGAUGCCAAAGCAAAGCUUAUAUGGUCCCCAUAACCAAAAUGGAGAGCACUUGCUCUAGAAGAGUCCAUUAGAGAGUUUUAAGAUUAGGAAUACUAGGCUUUCUUAACUGUUGCUGCUUUUUCUACAUUUAGAUAAAUGCAUUAGCUGAAUGUUUCUCAAAAAACCUUAGGCAUACAGAACACGAAGACCUUUUUUCUAAUAUACCUUUGUCCGUGUUGAGUGCACUUUUGGCUCCAAUUUCGUGCAAUCAAAGAGGGAUUGAUGACACUGAGGAAUUGGGAAUCCUUAGCAGUCAAUAUGUGAUUUAAAUCCUUUCAUGUGGAUGUAUCUGCAGUUCCAGCAAUUCAAUUAAGAUCGCCUUGUAGUGAUCUUGCAGAACCCAACAAGCCAACCUUCAGAUAAAAAAGCAAGAUACAGUAUAAGAAGCUGAAAUAUACUAAACAAAGAUUGUCAAACUGAAUUUAUGAUGAGUUCAAUUGCACUACAGUGUUCAAUUUGUGCUGCAUCUACUCAAAAUUCUUCAUCUUUUCUCUUACAAGUACGGGAAGUUGGAUAAACAAGAGCAUGAAGAAAACCUAUCUGUGCUUGCUGCUAGAAAAGACUAAAGAAAGUCCAGACAUUGAGCACAAAGAAAGCUAUACGCUGAUAUAGUAUAUUUACAUUAAAAUCACUUAAAAUAAUAUAACGCCUUUGGCAACCAUAAGGAUCCAGAAAUGAAAGAUUGCCAGUCUUCUAAAAGAGUAAUAGAACAAGGCAUUUGCAGGUUAUAACAAUCAAGCUUAUAGCAUCCUAACACCACAGUAGUCACACAGAAACUAAUUGACAACUUUUAAUAAAAUCUUGAAUCGAAGUAACACUAAGCAAUAAUAUUGACAGCAACCACUGAAGCCUGUUUCAAUACAUUUUUCUAUCAUCAGAACAGGUAAAAACUAGUUUCUCAAAAAUAUCACCUGCCCUUUAAUUUCCCAUUUCAAUUAAUUUCGUAUUAGCUCUUUCUGCCAUGUACCUUAAGUAAUCAAUCUCACACAUUACUUCAAAAUAACUGUUACGUCUCAAAGGAUUCAAGGACCUUCUUCCCUUCUAAGAAUUAGAUUUGAUUCUCACCAUCUCGAUUACCUUUCGAGCUCUGUUCCUCACUGCAGAGGCCCCGUUCUGUGCCUAGACACGUGGCAGUCCGGGAAGGUCGGAGUUGGGCCUGGACCCCAAGCCCCUGACAACCGUCCUGGAGUGCACCGCCAUUAGGGUUCCGAAAGGCUCCAGGGAACAAUCCCGCAGAGGGCGGGGAGAAUCCCCCUUAGCGCGAGAUUAAGGCUAUACUGAGUAAGUCACGAAACGUACGGAGGUCGGACUCUCGAGCAGGUAUAAAUGGUAACGCACACCAACUACACAAUGUACGCUCACUAUUGGCAAAUUAUUCCCGAUCGCUUUACUUCCCGUGAACUUCACUCACCGGAAAACUAACUUGACCGUCGGAGUGCUCUCGGGGACCACUUCGGGGCUCCCCUGUCAGUCACCCUAUAGCCUACUCCUUGUUUGUUUUGCAGGGCUGGGAUACGUUCUUCUCAUCAGCACGCCGAACUCAUCAGGUCAGCUCGGUCCGGGGAAGCUCAACGCUUCUUCAGUUGGCGCCGUCUGUGGGAACGAAAGGCAAGUGCAGUUGUGUUGAUGGCGAGAACUCGUUCUAAGCGAACCAUGGAAACUACUGAUCCCGGGGCUGGCGAGAGGUCCCAGCGAAAGGAGAUCGAGGCGGCUCGGAGCGCCGGAGACUCAGCCCUCUCAGGAGAGCGGAGACAGUAGAUCCUCAAAUUUGUGACGGAGAACCUCCCCAUGCUGAAGGAUAUGAUCCGUCAGGCGAAGGAGGGGGGCGAAUCCGAGGGCGCGCAGACCUCCAAGACGAAGGGGAAGGAGAAGGCAUCACCUCCCGACCCCUCGGAGGAUGAGUCACGGGACCAGCUCCCCGGAAGGAAACGGCCACGGACUCCCCCUCGACCACGGGCCUCGGUGGUCGGGGAUAGCGAGAGGUACUCCUGCGACCGGUCUGCGGGAAGUAGACCGAGAAACCCCUCACCGCAGAACCCUGCACGGGGCGGGCCUGGGCACUCCCCCGACCGCUCUAUCAAAAGCCGACAGCGCAACCUUCCCCAGUGGAAGCCUGUUCGAGACGAACUCGAGCAGAUCUUGCGGUCACAGUUGUACGAGAACAACUACACCACCUCACCCUUUACCCAGGAGGUAGAGGAUUACCCACUACCCCGAAGGUUCAAGAUCCCGAACAUCGAACUGUAUGACGCUUCAACCGACCCGGAAGACCACCUCUCGGUCUUCCGGACGCACAUGCGUCUGCAAACAGCCGCGGAUGAAAUCCGCUGCAAGACCUUCCCUAUGUUCCUGAAGGGGAAGGCUCGGCUCUGGUUCCAGGGCUUGGCACCGGGGUCCAUCCGAAAUUUCCCCGAACUGGCUAGGCAGUUCGUUGCCCAGUUUAUCUCUUCGAAGACUUAUUCGAAGAACGCGACUCACCUGAUGGCGAUCCGGCAGAAGCCGGACGAGUCACUGAGGAAUUUUAUGACCCGCUUCAAUACGGAGAGUUUGCAGAUCAGGGACAAUGAUGAAAAGGUGGUCAUGGCCGCCUUCAUGAACGGGAUCAGGGCAAAUGAGCUCUUCUACAAACUGGCCGAGAAGCCUCCCGGAGACCUAGAAAAGCUCUUGACCAGGGCACAUGCGGCAGCUAAUGCAGAGGAGGCGGCCCGUCUGAAGAGAGAGUCAGAUCGGGAGUUCGGAGAUCGGAGAGGACGGGAAAACUCCCCCGAGAAUAAGGAUGUCCCAGCCAAGAAGAACAUUUUUGACCGACUCUCAAAGGAAAAAAUCCCUGCUCAGCCGCCGCUUCCGGAGAAAGGCUACACCCCCUAACUCAGCCUAGAACCCAGAUCCUGGCCGUCAUGGAGGCUGAGGGCCUAGGGGAACGGCCGUCCAGGAUGGGGACCCCCCUGAACAAAAGGAACCAGGAUCGAUACUGUGCCUUUCACCGUGACGUCGGGCACGAUACGGAGGGAUGCUGGGCCCUGCGGAAGGAGAUCGAGGAUCUGAUCUAGCGCGGCUUCUUGGGACGAUUUGUGCGGCAGGGUCAACCAGGCCAAGAGCGGGGACGCAACUACGGCGGAGACAGGGGCGAGGGCCAGCGUCGCGACCGCCCUGAGCGGCGUGACAUAUCUAGGGGCCACUCCCCUGACCUGGACAUCCAGAACCUGGCAGGGGUGAUUAACACCAUUGCCGGGGGUCCCACGGGGGGGGACAGCCAUGCAGUUCCGAAGAACAGGCGACCUCCCCCCGAGAGGGACGAUUCCCUGAAGCGCCUGCGCAUGGACGAAAAGAUCACCUUCGGACCAAGGGAUGCGGUUCCCAUGGCGUUCGGAAACCACGAAGCCAUCAUGAUAGAUGUCGUGACCAAUAACUUCCGGGUGAAAAAAGUAUACGUUGACCAAGGAAGCGCGGUGGACAUCCUGUUCUUCCGAGUGUUCAAGGAGCUCGGCUUGGAGGAUGGACAGUUAACCCCAGUUCGGACACCACUGGUGGGCUUCACCGGACCGCCUAUCAACCCGGAGGGGAUGAUCACCUUGAUGGUCACGAUAGGGCAGGCGCCCAAAUGCCGGACCAUCCCUGUCAACUUCGUGGUGGUCAAACAACCAUCCCCGUACAAUGUGUUCUUGGGUCGGCCCGCCUUGAAUGCCCUCCGGGUUAUUCACUCUUCGCUCCACCUCAGCGUCAAAUUUCCCAUCUCGGGAGAGAUAGCCGAGGUGCAUGGAAAUCCGAAAGUGGUCAGGGCUUGCUACUUGACCAUGCUCCGGGGACAGGAGAAGUUGGUCCCCCAAACAACCAAUUUGGAGCCCUACAUCCCGGGGGACGAGGCCUCGCAGUUGGGCACCCAGGACAAGAUUUAGGAGUUCCACUUGAGAGAGGAUAGGCCUGACCGGGUCCUCCGUAUCGGUACGUCAUUGCCCCCUGAGGAGAAAGAGGAUAUGAAGGCCCUGCUAAGUGAGUACUCCCGGGUCUUCGCGUGGACAGUUGAGGAUAUGCCUGGGAUUCCGACCGACCUGGCCGUCCAUCACCUCAACGUAGAUCCCCGCUUCAAGCCGGUGAAACAGAAAAAGAGGAGUUUCACCCCAGAGAGGAAUGAGGUGAUCAAGGAGGAGGUCGGCAAGCUGCUGGACUCCAAGAUCAUCCUGGAGGUAUACUACCCGACCUGGUUAGCCAACUCCGUCCUGGUGAAAAAGGAGGAUCAGUCGUGGAGGAUGUGCGUGGACUUAACAGAUCUCAAUAAAGCCUGACCAAAGGACUGCUUCCCCUUGCCGAGGAUCGACAAGUUAUUAGACUCUACUGUGGGUUUUGACGUCUUGUGUUUUCUGGAUGCUUUCAAGGGAUAUCACCAGAUCGAGAUGGCAGAGGCGGACCGGAAAAAGACUUCCUUCAUCACUAAGGAAGGAACUUACUGCUAUCGGACGAUGCCGUUUAGGCUAAAGAACGCCGGAGCUAUCUACCAGCGCUUGGUCAACAAAUUAUUCCAAAAUCAGAUCGGCAGAAGUAUGGAAGUCUACGUAAACGACAUGAUCGUCAAGAGCCGAAGUGACUAGCGGCUCGUUCCCGACCUGAGGGAGAUCUUGAACAUCUUGUCAGAGAGUCGGAUGAACCUGAACCCGAAAAAAUGCACCUUCGAGGUCAGGUCGGGAAGGUUCCUGGAUUUCUUGAUAUCCCGAGAGGGGAUUUGGGCCAACCCGGAUAAGCUCCGGGCUAUCAUGGAUAUGGCCCCUUCGAGAAACGUAAAUGAGGUCCAGCGGCUCACUAGGAGGAUGGCCGCCCUGAACAGAAUCCUCUCACGUUCCGCGGUCAGGGGGCUGCCCUUCUUUCGAAUUCUAAAAGCGCCUAAGGACUUUCAAUGAACCGAGGAGUGCCAGAAAGCCCUCGCUGGCCUAAAAGCAUAUCUGGCCGAACUGCCCACUCUGACUGCCCCGAAGUAGGGAGAGACCUUGUUCCUAUACUUGUCUGCUUCCAGCGAAACUGUUAGCGCGGUUCUGUUGCGGGAAGACAGGGGGGCCCAAAAGUCAAUAUACUAUGUUAGCCGAGUUUUACAGGGACAGGAGACGCGGUACACACCGGCAAAAAAAUUGGUCAUCGCCCUGGUGCACGCCGCCCGGAAACUCCGACCUUACUUCCUGACCCACAGCAUUGUUGUCAUGACCAAUCAGCCCUUACGCCAGAUACUCACUAAACCCGAGGUCUCGCACAGAAUGACCAAAUGGGCCGUCGAACUGGCCUAGCAUGACAUCGGCUAUCAGCCUCGCACUGCUAUCAAAGCUCAGGUCUUGGCAGACUUCCUAGCCGAGGGAGCAAGUCUGUCCAUGGCUGAGCCAAGCUCUUCGCCCACGGAGGUACGGCCGGAAGAGUCGUGGCUUCUAUUCGUAGACGGGGCCUCGAGUAAGGAAGGGAGCGGCGCCGGCCUGCUGCUCACCUCGCCCACCGGGGAAGAGCUGACCUACGCACUCAGAUUCGACUUCCCGGCAUCCAAUAAUGAGGCUGAGUACGAGGCCCUAUUGACAGGAUUGCGGAUAACCCACCAGAUGGGUAUAACCGCGAUCAAAGUCCGGAGCGACUUCCAACUCGUAGUCCAACAAGUUCGUGGGGAGUACGAAACCAAGGAGGAGGUCAUGAAAAAAUACCUGGCAAAGAUACGAGAGACAAUAACCUUGUUCGAUACUUUCGAAAUCAAGCGGGUGCCGAGAUCCCAGAACAAGCGCGCAGAUGCCCUGUCGAAACUGACGUCCUCCUCGUUUGCCCACCUAAGCAAGGAGGUCCUGGCAGAGGUAGUCAAGCAGAAGAGCAUUGACCAGGUCCAGGUCUUGGCCGUAGACAGUUCGGUCACCUGGAUGACUCCCCUUGUGAACUUCCCCAGCUCGGGUGUCUCCCCGAAGACAAAAUCGAGACUCGCCGACUCCAGCUCAGAACUACCAAGUACGCCUACUCUGGGGGGACCCUCUACCGGAGGUCGUAUCUAUUUCCCUGGCUAAAGUGCGUAACUCCUGAUGAGUUUCAUGAAGGCAUAAGCCUAAGAGUAGGCACUUUUUGGCCAGAACUCGGGAUCCCACAUGUGCCGCGCAUAAGCCUUCAUGAACCUCUCGGAGUUUCAUGAAACUCUCAGCAUUUCAUGUCCUCCGAGAGGAUCAUGAAGGCUUAUGCGCGGCACAUGUGGGAUCCCGAGUUCUGGCCAAAAAGUGCCUACUCUUAGGCUACUAUUGGCCCUCAGUGUUUCGGGAUGCCGCACCUCUUGUUCAGAAAUGCUGAGAUUGUCAGGUGCACGCCCCGCUGCGUCACCAACCCACUCGGGAGAUGGUCCCCAUCCAUAGUCCUUGGCCCUUUACCCAGUGGAGAAUAGACCUCUUGGGUCCCUUUCCCCGAGCUCCCGGAAGGCACGAACACCUCAUGGUGGCCAUCGACUAUUUCACAAAGUGGAUGGAGGUCGAACCCCUGACCACUAUCUCUGGAAAGGCAAUUCAGAAGUUCUUCUGGAAGAACAUAGUCUGCUGCUUCGGGAUCCCGCAUGUCUUGAUAUCCGAUAAUGGGCGACAGUUCGCCGAAAACCCCUUCAGGAGAUGAUGCGCUGAGCUCGGGAUCAGCCAACAUUUCACCUCGGUCGGCCACCCCCAGGCCAACGGCCAAGUGGAGAACGUCAACCGAACCAUUCUGCAAGGACUAAAGACUAGGUUGGAACUGGCCCAGUCUAACUGGCUAGAUGAACUCCCUAGUGUCCUCUGAGCCUACCGCACUACGCCGAGAACGGCCACGAGACCCCGUUCUCCCUGACUUAUGGGGCAGAAGCGGUGGUACCAGUAGAGAUCGGCCUUCCGUCACCUCGGACACAGAACUUCGUUGCGUUAGCCAACGAAGAAGAGCUGAUGUGCAACUUGGACAUACUGGAGGCCAAGCAUGAGGAAACGGCGAUACGGAUGGCUAGGUAUAAAAGUCAACUCGCCGGCUAUCAUAACGCGAGGUGAGGAAUACGCAGUACCAACCAGGAGAUCUCGUCCUAAGAAAGAACUCAGUUAGUCGAGCUCAUAGUUCCAACAAACUCGAUCCGAACUGGGAGGGUCCAUACAAGAUCCUGGAGGCAAGCCGAGUCGGCUACUGCAAGCUUGCGAAAUUAGAUGGAGUGAAAAUACCCCGCACUUGGCACUUCUCGAACUUGCGAUUGUUCGUAGGUUAGAUUGGGUCAGGGUAUCUUACUGUCUAUUCUUUGAAAUUCGUGUACAAAUUCGUCAUUGAAUAAAUGUCAGACUUUUAACCUUCCUUUUACCAACACCGUUUAGUUUUAAAGUUUAGGUCCUACACUAGUACACUCAGACGAUGCUAAGUGUCCUAGUGAGGGGUUGGCAAUGGUAAUGGUAAUGGAUUGGAAUGCCUUUAAAGUUCGGGAGUGGAUGCUCGACCCAGGAGGUCGGCAUGGCUUAAAGUUUGGAAUGCCUUUAAAGUUCGAGAGUGGAUGCUCGACCUAGGAGGUCGGCAUGGCUUAAAACUUUAAAGUCUGGCGUUCGGCCCCAGAGGCCAGCACGUCAUAAACUAUUUUGAUACAGUUUGUUAAAAUCCGGGAGUUCGACGUUCGACCCAGGAGGUCGGCACGGUUGCCCUGGAAGUUGGAGAGUGGAUGCUCGACCCAGGAGGUCGGCAUGGCUUAAAGCUUUAAAGUCUGGUGUUCGGCCCCAGAGGCCGGCACGUCAUGAACUAUUUGAUGCAGUUUGUUAAAAUCCGGGAGUUCGACGUUCGACCCAGGAGGUCGGCAUGGUUGCCUUGGAAGUGUGGUGCUCGACCCGGGAGGUCGGCACAUCGCGAACUGAUUUCACACAAUUUGUUAAUGCCCUAGUUCGUCGUCCAUGGCAAUUUAGCUAUUAGUCUAAAGGGGGGAGAGCUUGACGUUCGACCCAGGAGGCCGGCAGAGCUCAAAACUUGGAAGUCUGAUGUUCAGCCCCAGAGGUCGGCACGUCGCUUUGGUAAGUUGGUUUGAAUUAGUCUGUUAUCCUUGACGAUUUAGUUGUCAGCUUAAAGUUUAAUAGAUACUCGACCCAAGAGGCCGGCACAUCGCCUCGGUGGAUCGGUUCGAUGUUCGACCCAAGAGGUCAGUAGACCACUUCGAUUAUUAAGGUUCGACGCAAGCAAAAAUUGCAAGUCAGAAUUAGGCAGUUUUCAUUGAAUGCUACUUCAUAUGUACAUUCAAAACCUAUCUAUUACAAAACCUACCGAGGUAUAAAAAAAAAGAGAGAAAAGCCUAGCUAACGCCCAGCCUAGCCCACGGGCUCCUUCCCGAGAGCCCUGCCGGGAGUGUCAUCCUCCUCCAAAGGAAUCUCCGCUAACUCGGCCCCCACGUCGCUUCUGCCCACCAGAUCUUUCAGGGCAUGCCCCUUGCAGUACCCGUCGAAGAACCAGUCUAGCUUCUCCUCGGCGGCAGGGUUGUAAUCCAUAAACGCGGCCAAGUCGAAGCUAGGCAAGUUGAGACCCUUCACCUGGUCAAGGGCUCACAUAAAGCCGAACUGGAGGAUGGGCUAGUUGACGAGGACCACGUCCUCAGCAAACCGUUUGGAAGAGAUGAACUCCCGAACGGCCUUCUUGCGCUCCCGGCUGACGGUACUGGAGAGCUCAAUGGCGUGGUCUUCCCUCAUAUUCGCCACGCCCUUCUUCUCCUGGUCCAGCUAGAACAUGGUGGAGGCGAUCUGGACUUGGGCCGCUUCCAACUCCUUCUCGGUCUUGCCCAACUUGACCUUAAGAGAGCCUGCCUCCUUUAGGGCCUGGGCAAGCCUCUGCUCGGUCUCCCGAUUCACCUUCUGCAACUUUUCCAGAUCAGGACACAGCUCGGAGAAGCGGAUCGCGAGGGCAGCUCCAGCGGCAUUGGCCUGAGGAGAAGAAAAAAGAAGUCAGCAUAUUUCGUAACCGAGCUGAAAAGCGGAGGCACAAGUGGCCUAAAGGGAGGAGAACUCACUUGGGCUUGGGCGGUGAAGUACGCGUCCUGGAGCUCGGACGGGCUCGCCAGCUCCAUCCACCUCCUGUCACACGGGAGGACCGAGCCUGUGACUAACUCGCGAGCCACCUCGAAAAACUGGGCUCGGUCAUUGAUGGACAGCCCCCAUGAUGGACAGAAGCGACGGGGGUCGUGCAUGGAGGGGGAUAGGCCGGGUUUCAAGGGGGCGAUGUGACGGAAGUGUCACAGACUGGGGGGCGGCAUCUCUCGCGCGUGCUCCUCCGCGGAGCCGACCCCCAAAUGGACCGGACCUGCGUGGGGGCCGUCCCCCAACGUAAGCAGGAGUAGGGGCUAUGUCGAAGCUGGCGCGAGCUUCUUCCCGGAUUGGGAGGGCUUGUCCCCUCAACCCCUCUUCUGCCCGUUCGCCUUCUUUUUGCUGGCGACCUGGUUGGAGGGGGACGACGAGUGGGACAUUUCCUUCGGGGGGGCCGAGCUGCCCCCGGGAGUCGGAGCGACCUCAGAGGCCUUCUUGGCGGCAUCCGGCUACGGAGUCGGGGCGGCCGGCUCGGAAAGCGUGCCCAGCAGCUUUGAAAGCCUCCUCACUACAACAAACGUCGCCAGGUUAGUACAAACAGACUGGUAAAAAAAGAAAUAAAACAGGACAACAGGCAACAGGAGCACAGUGGCGGCUUUACAGUCGUCGUAGUUGAGGGGGGAGAGCUCCACUUUCCCAGGGGACCCGGACAACGUCCCCAUCAGCCCGGCCGCAGAAAUCUGCUCGGUGGAGAACCUGGCGACAUAGAGCUUCACCUUGGAGCUCACCAGUUGGCCGAGGGCUUCGGAGUCCAGAUCCUCCGGAUAGGGGUUGGAGUCGACCUCCCCGACCUUCCAUACAUUAUGGGGAAAGCUCGUGGAUUUAACAAAAAAGAAGUCAUCUUUCCAGUUCUUUACGGAAGAGGGGACCCCGAAGAGUAGGUCCUGGGAGCCCUUCCCACCCCGAACUUUGCUAGCAGUUCGGGAGGAGAAUUAGUACCACCCAAGAAGGGAAAGCUUGAGGGUGUAGGAAGCUCGAAAGAGAGAAAGAGAGUAGGGGAUGGAGCAGAUCUGACAGUAGAUCAGGAAUCCAAUGAUGAUCCUGAUCGAGUUGGGAUGGACUUGGGUGAUCCUGAACCCCCAAUAGCUCAAGAUCUCAGCCAGAGUUGGUGGAAUGGGGAGCCGGAGCCCCGCGACCAGCUGCUCCCUGUAAAUGGCUAUAAAACCAGGAGGAGGUCGGCUGGCUCGGUCGUUGGGUCCGGCCGCCCUCGACUCGAAGGUCGGAGGAAUGAAAAAAGACCCGACCAGAUCGGCCACAUCCCCGGGGGAGAGAGUGACUUCUUGCUGGUCAGGAUGACCAUAGUCAAAUCCAGGAUCAUCCCCCUGUUCGGAGGCAGGGGUUCCCUCAGAGGAGUCCCUGUCUUCACCAGCCCCUCCCUGGGUUUCGCCAGGGGAGUCAUGUGGAGACUUGGGGGAGGGAACGGAAGUGGCCUGCUGCUCAAUGAAGGCAUCGAGCUCGGCCGCCUCCUCCAGGAUUCGGGCAGAAGGAGAGUGGGCAGAUGAAGAGCUCAUGAUGACUAUGAACUCGAGCAGGUCGAGAUUAGAAACUGAAAAAGAAGAAGGAGGAGGGGGUGAAGAUGAAGAUGAAAGCGAAGGUGAAGAUGUAGAAGAAAUGAGAAUCCUAAGGGCUCUACGGUGGAUCGGAAUCUGGGAUGCGGUGGAGGUAACGUCGGAACGAUCCGACAUAAAAAACAGAAGAUGGCAAAGGAAAAAGAGAGUGAAGGAGGAAGGAAAAAGACUUACUGGUAAGUGGGGUGGAAAAAUGGGUGAAGGAGUCACCGGAAUCUGGGCACGAAGAGCCGGAAGUCUUGUUGCUGGAAAUUAAAAAUGCACGGAGAAAGGAAAAUGUCAAAUAGAGUCGGAUGAAAUCUGGCAACCCCUAUUUAUAGGGGAUGAAAUGGGGGGAAAACGGUUUGCUCGAAUUUGAACCGUCCCAUGUGAACGCAUUUAAGAGCGGUACGGAGACUGAAGAGACGCGACAACUGAAAGGACGCGGGCGCAGCUUUUCAGUGACAGCACUGUACCGGAGGUGACCACGGCAGAGCUGUGUGACGCUGGGUUCCCACGUGGCAAGGGUAUAGAUUAGGUAUGUCUGAAUUCCCUACCUAAUCUAGGGGGCUAGUGCAGAGGCUCCGUCCUGGGCCUAGACACGUGGCAACCCGGGAAGGUCGGAGCUGGGUCUGGAACCCAGGCCCCUGACAACCGUUCUGGAGUGCACCGCCACUAGGGCUCCGAAAAGCUCCAGGGAACAAUUCUGCAGAGGGCGGGGAGAAUCCCCCUUAGUACGGGAUUGAGGCUAUACUGAGUAAGUCCCGAAACGUACGGAGGUCGGACUCUCGAGCAGGUAUAAAUGGUAACGCACACCAGCUACACAAGGUACGUUCACUAUUGGCAAAUUACUCCCGACCGCUUUACUUCCCGUGAACUUUACUUACCGGAAAACUAACUUGACCGUCAGAGUGUCCUCGGGGACCACCUCGGGGCUCCCCUGUCAGUCACCCUAUAGCCUACUCCUUGUUUGUUUUGCAGUGGUGGAAUACGUUCUUCUCAUCAGCACGCCGAGCUCAUCAGGUCAGCUCGGUCCGGGGAACCUCAGCGCUUCUUCACCCACCUUUACCUAGUCUUUGCCUCCUUAAAAAACUGCAUACAGAGAACAAUUCAAACUAAUCCAAGGAAGAUUUAUUUGUGAAUUACAUUGAAAACAAACCUCAGCCUCUUCCUUCCUUCCCAUACCUAGCCUUCUAAACAAUACCAAUUUCUUCCCCUCCCAACCAUUCCCUUUCUGCUUCAGAAGCAUAUUAAGAAAGAUAAUACUGUAACACUGUCUGGAGGUAAGCAUGUGAAAUGAAAGACUUAUCUGGAAGCUCAAAAUAAAAAAUGUUCCAAAACGUGUUUAAAGAAUAUCCCUUAAAAUUGCUCAAAAAAUAACAACUGUAGCUUAAGGAAUGUAAUCCUCCAAGUAGCAACGGUUGUAGCAGUUCUCUCAGCAGCAUCGGGCACAUACAACAAGUAUACGGCUCUCCAAAACCAUAUGCACUAUAUACUUACAAUAUAUAGAUGGCCGAAAUCCAAGUAACGUUAUCGCCAAAUUGUGAUUCUGAGGGGUAUGACACCAACGAUAACAAGAAGAAGUACACUUUUUGUGACAAACUGCUCGGUACCACAGUGCAGCUUAUCUUCGAAGUCACUACAUAUCUAUCCAAACUCAGUAUAGGAAAACUCCUCCCUCUCAGCUAGGGGUGCAAACGAGCCGAACUCGAGUCGAGUUUUGGCUAAUCGAGCCGAGCUCGAGUUAAUUUUGUGAAGCUCGAGCUCGAGCUCGACGAGAUCAAAAUAUCAAGCUCAAGCUCGAGCUCAAAAAAUAAAAAAAUAAUUAUUAUUAUUUUAUUUUUAAAAAAUAAAUAUUUAUUUUAAAAAAUGAAUAAAAUAAUAAUUUUUUUAAUAAAUAAUAAAAUAUUAGGAAUAUAUAUGUAAUUUUACUAUUAAAAUAAAAAAUAUAUAUAAUUGAGCUUGUAAGCCGCUCGCGAGCCAACGAGCUUAAUGUUUUUGAGCUCGAGAUCGACUUAAUUAGCUCGAAUUCGAUUCGAACUCGAUAUUGACGAGAUCGAGUCGAGCUCGUAUUCGAGCCGCUCGCGAUCGGCUCCCGAGCGGCUCGAUUCGCGAAACACCCCUACUCUCUGCAUAGUCACUAUAUAUCUAUCCAAACAGGGUAUAGGAAAUCUCCUCUCUCUGCGUAGCUUUUCUUUAAAGAUGCUUGAAAGAACUUGCAUUGCUAGGAUGGACGUGAAUAUGAAUCUGACUCGUGGUCUAACUCUCAUUCAUUAUCAUAACCAUCAUCAUCGCAGUUGGAGUCGAGAAACAGUCACCACCCAUUAGUCCACCGGAGAAAGCCAAUGCUGAUUUAGGCUCACUGAAUAGCAUCAAUGACACUACGGCUGCUGCCGCCGCUGUCAAAUGUUUCUAUGGAUUUUUCAACUGGGCUUAUGUUUUAUUGGAUUUCCAUUGAUGAUGAUGAUGGCAUCGACAUCUUCUGCUUUAACCUGGGAUUAUUGUACUGAUUAUUGGCACAUCUGGGAAUUGUUUUGAUGACCAAGUAUUUGGGAGGAAUUACUAUUAUGGAUUAGAAGGCAGAAACGGGGUGGGAUUUUGUAGGAAUGAAGAAACAAGACUUGGAAAUGGCCGACAAGAUAGUGUAAAGGGUCUGGUUUGAGCAAGAAAAAGGCUGGUUUUGCCUGCUACUAUUGCUGUUGGUGGCGCCAUAGAAGGAAAUUUAUGUGAUUUUGCUAUUGUGGUAACUCAAGUCAUUUGGGGUUUAGGCCGAAAGACAAGGGGCAGAGACUGAAGAGUUUCAACUUUGUUGAUGUACAACACAGAAGGCAGUGGAAUCCUUACUGGAUAUUGAAAUACAAUUGAUUCUUCAUGUCACAAAUUUGAAGCAGAUACCUAACCGAUCAGCCUUCACAUACCCUCUAAUGAGCAAUACAGGCGAUCUGAACCUGUUAAGAGGGUACUCAAUUCUAUAAUUUGCCUCUUAAAUAAGCCUAUUUGAUCUUUAUUCAUCUUAAUGAGUUUGAAAUGUGCUGAAGUUUGAUUUUUUUUUCUAUGGGUUUACCAGAGUUCAAAUCGAGUGAACUUCCUGAGCUUGAUUUGUUUAGGGGGUCUACCGAGUUCAGAUCGAGUAAAGUUCCAAUCCCAUGGCAAUUGGCAGUCAAAUGCUGACUGUGAAUCGACGCAAGAUCAAGCUUGUUUUGUAAGGCCAUCAAACACCGUCCAAAUGGUCUCUUAUAGCCAUGCUCUAUCCACUAGCAAUAUUCUGUUGCAUAGAGAAACCAGAUCAAACACUGAAGGUAGCUAGUCCUUUGGCGAUUGGCAGUCAAAUGCUGAGGACUAGGAACCGAUCAAGCUUGAUUUGUAGGGCCAUCAAAUACCGUCAAUUGGUCUCUUAUAGCUGUGCUCUAUCCACUUGCAAUAUUCUGUUGAAUACAGAAACCAGAUCAAAAGUUGAAGGUAGCCAAAUAAGAAGCAUUGAAUGUUCCAAUUCAACACCUGCUGUUGUACGAUUGAGAAACCAUCAAAAACCACAAAACAACUUAAUUUACAACUUCUAUACAGGAAAUAAGGUUAUCAAGGAAGAACUGAACAAGCUAUUAUGUAUGUUCUCAAGCUAAGCAAAUAGAAUAUACUUACUGAGAACAAACAAUAAUCAGAAACAAGUAUUUACAGGCAGUUUAAUCAGCGACUCUAUAUUUACACAAAAGCAUUUAGAAAUUCCAACUUUUAUUUAGAAACAAGUGACACCACCAUAAAUUCCCAUGACAAUAUAACACCACCAUUCAAUCCUACAAAACGAAAACUACAGAAGGCUUUAACAAGCCAAUCCCCAUGACUUGGGCAGCAAAGAUACACAGGGUAAAGCAAACUAUAACAGGGUCCAUUUAAAUUCCAACAGCCUUCAACAAAUUAUCAGCAACAUUCACAAGCCACCUCGAAGACGCAGGACAAAGUGAAGAGUGGACUCUUUCUGGAUGUUAUAAUCAGCCAAAGUCCUUCCAUCCUCCAAUUGCUUACCAGCAAAGAUCAGCCUCUGCUGGUCAGGUGGGAUACCUUCCUUAUCCUG
rnacentral:lncRNA from 1 species